UAAAAUAAAAAAACACUUAUUUUCUAGGAAGAUAUUUUGUAAGGAAAAUAUAGGAAAACAUUUUCAAUCAUGCCAACCCACCCUAAAACAUUGACCCAUUUUUGACAUCUUCAUCCAUCCCUCUCAGUCGCAGGCUCGCAGCAUCCCCUCUUUGAACUUUGACGAUGGUCUCCAGCUAAAUUCUAUUCGAGAAUCCUAAUUAGGCAAAAAACAAGGAAUUGCGAAGACCCAUAAACCCCCAAAUGAUACGAAAAGGUUGAUUGUGCAAUCUUGGGGGAUAUAUAUAUAUAUAUAUAUAUAUAUAUAUAUAUAUAUAUAGUACGUUACGUUACUUUCUUAGUUAUAGUACUAGAGUAGNNNNNNNNNNNNNNNNNNNNNNNNNNNNNNNNNNNNNNNNNNNNNNNNNNNNNNNNNNNNNNNNNNNNNNNNNNNNNNNNNNNNNNNNNNNNNNNNNNNNNNNNNNNNNNNNNNNNNNNNNNNNNNNNNNNNNNNNNNNNNNNNNNNNNNNNNNNNNNNNNNNNNNNNNNNNNNNNNNNNNNNNNNNNNNNNNNNNNNNNNNNNNNNNNNNNNNNNNNNNNNNNNNNNNNNNNNNNNNNNNNNNNNNNNNNNNNNNNNNNNNNNNNNNNNNNNNNNNNNNNNNNNNNNNNNNNNNNNNNNNNNNNNNNNNNNNNNNNNNNNNNNNNNNNNNNNNNNNNNNNNNNNNNNNNNNNNNNNNGGUUCUCCUUAAAUACUCUCUUUUACUUUUAUUGGGAAAAUUGUUACCUCUUUUAUAGAACUGAAUUUUGUUUUGCACAGCAAUUAUGUUCAACAGGUUACCCUCUUUACUUGUUAAAUUAAAUUCACAAUUUCAUUUUUUCCCCUUUAAAUCAAAAUUUUUGUUUGUUUUCUUUCAUUUUUUUGGGAGAGGGUUGGUAAAUGUUUGGUUUUCUAGGAAGUUGAAUUUGCUAAUUGAGUGGUUUAGUUUUGCAUCUUUUAUGGAAUUCCCCUUAAUGACGGAUUACUCUUGUGCGAAUUUCCGGAGUUAGUCCUUACUUGCAUAAUUUGGGUUCGCUAAUCUGAGUUUUGGAGGAAUGAAUUGUUUUUAGUAGCGUCAUAUUAUCAUAACCUCUUGGUUAGGUAAGAAUCAAAUUCCUAGAGAGAGAAUGACUAUGCAUAAAUAGCCUCUCAUCCCUAGUUUCGUUUUGAUGCGGCAAUGAGGUUUUACUUUGUACUGAAGAGUGGGUAUUGUUUGUAGAGAAUCAUUUUUUUCUUUUUGGUAUACUAACACCAUAUUUUCUCAUGAUUGAUAAAACUAUUUACAUUAAAAAAAGAGUUUAGAUUAGAAAAAAUCUGUAUAAGAAUUGCUGAAGAAUUUAAAAGGGAAAAUUGUUUUAGAUAUUAUAUUUGAUUGACUGACUCUCUUAAUGGUUCUUUAUGGAGGGUUCUCUUCUUUCUGAAUAUGGUGGGGUUGUUGUGUUCUUCCGUUCCUUUCCAUGUAAAAUGUAUAAGUAAUGGCUAUAAUUUGUUCUGUGUAGCCUGGCUGCUCAAGUGAGCUGUCUAGAGUGAACAUCUCAGAGGCACAGCUUAUUCAAAUCAAGGUGAGUUUUCUCAUUUGCUGUACUGUAAAACUUCUCCUGUUUUAUGUUCUCAAUAAUAAUUGUGGAUAUGCAUCUAGGUUUUGGGUGUUGAAAUAAAAGCUAGUGCUGAAAAAGGCUUCAUUUUUUUGUGUUUUUGGGUUUCGGGUUUUGAACUAAGUUGCUCGAACUCGGGUGCUGGUGUACGGAUCCGAAAGUCGGAUUCGGCAAAAUCUUAAUUUCAGAUUCGGGGGUGCGGAUCCAGGUAUGGAUACGGGUGUUGGGAUUCGGCUAGGAAAAUUCAAAAUUAUAAAAAUAGAGCUAUAAAGAUAUUCUAAAUUUUGAGAGAUAUUUUGUGAAAACUUACAUGUAUAUUGUAGAAUUCAAUCUUUCAUUCUCCAUGUCUUAAAUUGUAAAACUUACAUUAUAUUGUAGAAAAAUUUACAUGUAUAUUGAAGGUAUGCCGUUUCCCAUGUCUUAAAUCUGUUUUAUCUUUUAUUUUGAGAAAUCAAAAUCUCAAUUAUUCUCCCAAAUUUGUCCAUGGACUCCGGUCAAAGUAUUCGAAGUUGGUUGACUGAAUCCCAAAUGUAUCCUGCACCAGCACCCGUCCCAGUGUCGAUACGGGUUCGGCAUAAGAAAUGAUGAGUCUGCGCAACUUAGGUUUUGAACAUUGUAGCUUAAGUUGAAAAGUGUUUAGUCUGGAAUUAGAUAAAGGAAAGCCCAGGGUAGGAUCAUAUAAAAUAUAAAUAUCUGCAUGUAGAAAUGUGAUGAAUAAAUUAAUAAAUUAUCGAUGUUUCUCAACCAAAAAAAAUCAUUUUUUUUUUGAGAAGAGUAACAUUUUUAUAUAAAACUCAUUAGUAAAGUUACAGUUCAAACAAAAAAGAGCAAACAAAAAUUCUAGCCUUGUACAUCUAGCAAGGUACCAAUGAUGUCUAACAAAGAUCCUACAUCAUCUAUGAACCUCCUUUGGUUUAUGAACCUGCUUUACACCAAAGGUAGAACAAAAAUAUACAAUUCAUCUUGAUCUUCUGUUGAGAGUUUGAAAUGUUUUCAAAGCAUCUAAGAUUUCUCUCCUUCCAAAUUGCCCACCAAAUACAUGCUGGGAUGAUGCUCCACCACUUCUAUUGCCUUAUCAUGUUUUUCUUGUCAUUCCAGCAUGCUAGGAGUUCACCAGUUGAUCAUGGCAUUGACCAUCUCAUACUUUUCAUGUUCAAAAAUAAAACCGUACAGUUACUUGGCAGUGCAAAAACAGGUGAUUAAUAGUUCCCGACUCUCUACCACACAUAAAGCACCUGGAACAUAAAGGCAUCCCUCUCUUCAUCACAUUGUUAUGUGUCAAGACUGCCAUUCUAACCACUAACCAGCGGAAACAUGCCACUUUGAGAAGAAUCUUCACUUUCCAUACAUGUUUCCACUGCCAGGAGCCAAAGUGUUGCCCAGUACAAUUUAAGCCUGCAUAUGCUGAUUUCACAGUGAAAAGUCCCUUGCUAGUCCCUCUCUACACUAGCCUAAGCCCUCUCUGAGAUGCCUUUAAAAUUGUCUAACAGCUUGAGAAAUUCAACUACUCUGCUAACUUCCGAAUCCAAACACAAAUAAUCUUCCUCUAUCUAUGUUGAGGACUUAUUAAAAGUAUGACUUAAUGGUGGCCUUGUAAUGUAAAGCCAAUUGAUCAUAGGGGUGCGAGUCUGCAUUAGGCUGAAGGUUUAGUCGGCUUAUGAUCUUUCUCUUUUAGCAAAUAACAAUGUGAUAUAUAUAUAUGGUGUCUAGUCUUGAGUUACCAAUUUUUUCGUUUGCACAUCCUAACCAAAUUGGUCCCAUGGUAACUUCAAAAUAAAGAAUUAGUCGUAGGAAAUCUAUCUAUUUUUGAGAAACAGAUAAAUUGAGCUCUAUUAAUAUCAUAUUAAUGAGUCCCCAAAACGGAGCAAAAGUCAUAAAUCCUAUCUCAUUUACUGCAGCAAAUGGUAAAAAGAGCAACCAAGCCCAAGAGAAAGUGAACCAAAGAAAAGAUCUUUACUCACAACAGUUGAAACCAUGGCCAUGUCAUCUGACGUUAAGACCAUGGUAAGUUCAGGUUGGCCUAUUAGAGUGAAUGUAGGUGGUUGAUGUAGUUUCUUUUUGAAGCAUCUUAGUUUCCAGUUGCCAAAGUGUAGUAAUGAAGUGAGGAACACCCUACACCUAGGUAGUGUCUCAUUUUGAAACUAUUCUUUUUUUUCCCUUAGAGAGUCUUAUCUUCAUUUGUAGUGCUUUAAUGGUUAUGCCAUGUACGCUUGGGGUCUUUCAAUCGAGCUCUAUUUGGACGCAUGUGGGCCAUUGUAUAUAAGCUUUCACUUUUAAUGUGGCUCAUUUGACGACUCAAGUACAUGGAUCUCACGAUCUAUUGGCAUAGAUUAGGGAAUGGAUGCCUAUGGUCGAAGAGUUGGAGUAACAACAUAAAGAACCAAGGUUCGGAUACGUGCAGAGGCAACACUAGGUGAUUUCUUUCCAUCUGUCCAAAGUUGGGCGGGCAAAGUUAUCCGGUACCUAUGGUGUCGAUGAUCUUGAAUCGGAUCAAUAUCAUGAAUAACAAUAUCUGAACUAUCAAAUCAUUUGUCGUCGAGAAUUGAAUAAUAUAACAUAGGAAGUUCUUUUAUCCAUACCGCCCCAAACUUGGAUUCCUGGUCGAAUCCAAAAUUCCUUUAUUUAUUUAUCAUUAUCAUUUUUAUCAUAUGUUUUUUUUGGAGUAACAACAUAAUAAACCAAGGUUCGGAUUCGUGCAGAGGCAACACUAGGUGAUUUCUUUCCAUAUGUCCAAAGCUGGGUGGGCAAAGUUAUCCGGUACCUAUGGUAUCGAUGAUCUUGAAUCAGAUCAAUAUCAUGAAUAACAAUAUCUGUACUAUCAAAUCAAUUCGUCGUCGAGAAUUGAAUAGUAUAACAUAGGAAGUUCUUUUAUCCAUAUCGCCCCAAACUUGGAUUCCUGACCGAAUCCAAAAUUCCUUUAUUUAUUUAUCAUUAUCAUUUUUUAUCAUAUGUUCGUUUUUUUCCCCUCUCUAAUCCAGUGAUGUUAAAAGCGACCGCUUCCUCGCUUAAAGCAAAAAACGAUGCGAAGCGAGGCAUCUCGCGCUUCUCUGAUCUGAAGCGUAUCAGGUACACAAAAGCGAUCGCUUCCCCUGGAGAAGCGAGGAAGCGAACAAAGCGACAGAAGAAAGCGCUUCUCUUUAAAACUGGGAUGCCAACGUUAAUUAAUUAAAAAGGCUCUCUUUCUUUAACUUCAAGAUCAUCAAGUUUGGUCCAGGUAUGCGAUUUCUUCUUCCUCCUCCUUCUUCCUCCUCCUUCUUCCUUUUCUUUUUCUUUCACUGUUUUAGUGUCCAAAUAGCAGCGAAAUGUUGGCGAAGUUUUUUUCCCCUUCAGUUCUUUUUCUCAUUCUCUUCUUCUUCAUAUUCUUUUUCUUUCACUGUUUCAGUGUCCAAAAGCGAUCGCUUCAUUUUUCGUUUCAGUUAUACUGCCAUUUUUUGGCAUACUUACUGUCAUUUUUUUCAUAUCAUUUAUUCUUAGUUGUCUAUGCAGUAUUUAUUUUAUUGUCAUCCUCCUCCUCUUCUUCUUCUUCUUCUUCAUUGUCUAUGCAGUAUUUAUCUUCUCGCUUCUCACUUUAAGCGAAAAGGGGCUUGUCGCGUUUCCUCGCUUCACGCUCUUCACAAUACUGCUCUAAUCUAUCUAGUUCCUUCUUGUACAAUCAUCUAAUGAAGUCUCAUCAAAUUGCUCUUCCAUUUCCGGUGGUGGAAGGAAACAUGUAUUGGUUGAUUAGCCGAGGUGCGUUAGUUGGCCAAGACAUCACUGUUACCCCCCCAAAGAAAGAAAGAUAUUAGAUCUUUUACAGCUGAAUAUUUGCAUAAGCAUCUAAGCAGCUAUGGUUUUUCGUUUUUUUCUUUUAAUUGAAGGGUUUAAGCCUCAUUUGAGCUGGUUCACAUAAUUUCUUAGCAAAAAAAAGUUGUGUGCUGAUAAAGUUCAACAAAUUGUUCAAAAGAAAAUUAAGAGAAAUAUGAAUAAUGAAAAAGGCGUGGUUCAAAGCUAAUAUAGGUGAUAAACUGAGUUGACUAAUCUUGAAGGAUGAUUCCUUAUAGAAUAUCUAGCAUUUGUCACAUUUUCAUGAAUCUAUAUAAGUCUCCAUUUGGUACAUAAUUGCAUUAAUAUCGCUGUUUUGGUUAUUUAGUAAAUUUCUGAUCACUCACGUGUGCUAGUUAUAUCAUACUGUAAAAUCCAGCUGAUUCUGUUUUCUCCUACAGAUUACAAGUGCUGGCUUGUGGUCACAGAAUCAAACCAACUAUGAUGUAGUAAACGUUGCCAACGAAGAACCUAUAAGUGAGAACCUGAAAUGUGGGAAUGAAGAUAGUUCAGUUACCACAGCUACAAAACCAUGGUUGGACUGGUUAAGUGAUGGCGCCAAAAGUGGUAAAUCUCUAUUACAUUCAAACAGUGAGUUCUUUGAAUCUUCAUUGGGGAGUUCUAUGAAGAGUGAGUCAGUGGUUGAUGAUGUGAUCCCUAAAAUCAAUAAGGAAAGUUCACGUGCACGAUUUUUCAUCUCGCCAAAGGAAUCACUCAAAGCAGCUAUAAUUCGAAUUGGCCAAAAAUGGCAUGGACGUUUGUCUUUCAUUUGGAGAAUUUCCAAGCGGGUACUUGGAGGAUUAUGGGUAAGUUUGGAUAAGUGUAAAACUAGCUUGCAUCUUCUCUGAUACUUUAUGUUAGCAUAUUAUGGGAUUCCCUCAUCUGGGAACAAGGCUAGCUAAGUGAAUCAUAUUAUAAAGUACACACAGCUUGCUGUGCUUAUCAUCAUGCCAUCUUUUAUUAAUGUUUUUCGUGCAAAUGAAAAUCCAAGGUAAAUUGAGAUGGUCUUAACCCUAGACUGGAAUAUUUCCUAGUUAAACAGGCUAGGAGUACACUUAGGAACACUAGCUAACUUGUGAUUUUCCAUGUACUAGUUUUAGAGUACAUGCCUCGCAUGUGUAGCCUAGUCUUUAUUCUAAAAUUUAAAGGUAAUAAUCUUUUAAUAUAAUGCAUAACUUAAAAAUAUUUAUUUACCUUAUAAAAAUCAAAGCUUACAGAAAGUGCAAAGUUUGAUUGUGGAUGAUUGUUAUCAUAAUUAAAUAUUGUAAAAGGCCUUUCGUUCCUCCUCUGUUGAACUUCCUUGGAGGAGGAAGGAAAGCUCAUACUGGCCAUAAACUAUCCUGCCAAAGUUCAAAGGAAAAAAGUAUUUUCAUAAAAAAAUAUUUUUAAAUUCCAAUUCGCUUAUAUCGGAAAGUAAAACUUACUCGCCUAGUCAUCCUGCAACGCCACCUAUAAUUUUUUUAAAAAAGUCAGUACAAACAUAUGUUUACAUAUGAAUAACUAACCAUUGUAAAAUUAAAAUAACACCAAAUACAAUAAAAUUAAAACAAGACCAAGAAUCGUUUAAAAUUAGUUUGAGUUUUAAAUUUAACAUAAUUACUAUAUUAGAGUGAUUCAAACUCAACUUUUCAUCUGACCUAUAACAUAAAAAAGCUGGGACAACGAAACUGGUAUUUAACGUAUAAAAAUAGCAAAAGAAAAAUCCCUAUAAUUGAGAAUCUUGCAAAUACAAUUUGGAAUCUAAAAGAUACCGUUAUUGUGUUCAUUCAGAUACAAAGUGCAUUGAAACAAGAAGACGAAACUUGGACAACAUGUUUAAGGAGUACUUCUAAUAGAGAUUGAAGAUAAAGUAUUAAUGUUAAGUAUCGAGGUUGAAAGCAUCACAAUUGUAAAAAUUUCACUGUCAAAUCUACAAUGAAAUCUGGGCGAAAAAAUAAUUCAUAGAGUGAAAACGAACAUGGCUUAGCAUUGGCUUGUUACCAUUGGCUUGUUCGUGCAACAAAUAGCAUGAGUUGUUCUUACUUCUUUGCAUCAGAAUUAAUAUGGACUAAAUCAUAGGUUGAGAGGUACAAUGAAACUAUUAAUUAGCUUUUCUGUGUAUUUUCGUCAUCAAUUGAAUAAAAUUAAGAAAUGACAUGUUCAAUGAAAAUAUAAAGCUUCAAUCUACCUGAUUAUUACAACUCAAAGACUGAAGAAGAAUUAAAUCUAAAAAAUAGUAAAUCUGUCUGGAUGUUCCAUUGACAAGAGAAUCAUUAUGUGCAAAUGAAAUCCUAUAUAAGAAGUGUUUGUGUGUAUGGUUCAAAAAAGGAAAGGAGUAAAAUUGUGUAUAGUUCGAAUAGAAAAAAGAACUUUAUUUGUAGUUUCUACGUGCUCUUUUAAUUACUUUUUUUUAAUAAUCAAAUCAUAUUAUUAAAAAAUUAAAUCGAUUAUAUUCAUAAUGAAGACUCCUAAACCUAAUAGAGUUCUCGGUGCACGAUAUUUAGUUUCCUACUUUGAUUUCUCUAGUUUAGGUGUCAACUUUGGAUUUUUCUGUUUUGGUUUUAAUUACUUUUUCAAAUAAGGGAAGAUUUAAUAAUUAAAAUUUUACUUGAUCUCAAAUUCUUAAAUAUUAGAAAAAUAAAACUAAAUUACAAUUUUAUCUAGUGUGAAAUCUAUUUUUGAAGGGUAAAAAAGACAGAACAAUAUUUUGCUAAGGGCCUUCGUGCUUUUAAUAUAUUAUAUAGAUUUAUUGCUUCACGUUCAACUUUUUGUCAUUAAACUUGCUAUUUCUACCACAUGACACUUAUUAUUUUUUUUUUUUGGGCCAAGGUGAGUGAUUAAGAGAAUGAAUCUGAACAUCAGAUAGCUUGCUUUUUAUUACCCGUUUUAUGUAUUUCUGUGAUUAGCUUUUUGAAAGGUUACAGUACCUAGUGAAGAACAUAGCCUAUUAUGUCUUUCCUACUUCUCUUUUGUUAAAAAUUCUAUAUGCUUAAAGGAACUGAGAAGAUCAGGUGUUAUACAGACCCUUUAUAUCACACAAAAAAGAAAAAAGUUUCCACAACAUAAAUUAAAUUUGUUAUGAGAUGUGCAUUUAAAUAAAAGAUUUUGAAGUUCGAAUAUAUGUUAGAAAGUCCCAUUAUAACGGUUUUAAGGUCUUAUUUCAUCAUUCAGUUUAGGUUGCUCUCCUCUGCGCAUUUUGGGUUCUGAAUUUUGGCAGGUCACUGAUUGAAUUGGGGACUUGUGCCCAUGUUUGUCCUUUGUUGUUCUCAGGAAUUUGAUUGGUGUUGUAACACCUAAUUAUGUUUUGCUGAAGUUUUGUUUGAGUUUGAUGUUAUUGUCUGGUAACAACGUUUCACUUAGGGUUUACUUUGCUGAUCAUCUUUAUGGCAGCGUCUGGUCUUGAUACAUUGUGGAGCUAGAUUUUAAAUACCUGAUAUUUUUUCCCAGAAGAAAUGAUGCAUUACUUAUCCUGUACACUUUUGUAUACUGGUGGCAGUGGGCAUCCAACUUGUAUGUUUCACAAUAAAGUUUACUUCUACCAUCUCUAAUAAUGAGCUGUAGAUAUUUAGUUUGAUCUAAUAAGUGAAUGCCUUUUUGUUUCUUUUCCUCUAGUUUUCCUGGUAAAUUUAAAUGUCAAGCUCAUUCAGAUGCUUGCUUUAACGUGCUUCUCAGACUAAAGUUCCAAUAUGCAGGAUAUUGCUGGUAUACAUCUACAUAUUGACAUUCCUAAGUUGCUCAAGGCGCUUCACUUGGACAGGCUAAACUCUUAUGCUGGUAUCUAUCUACCUUCUAAUAAUCCUGUGCAGUAGCCACAACUGCAUAAUGAGCUCAAUCUUAGUAAAGCCAAAUUAGGAGUUUCUUUUUAUGUCUAUUCUUCCCAUUGUUGGUGGAUGGCCAAAAAGGUUACUGAAUUAGUAUUUUAACUGCUCCUUUUUUGGGAUGUUGUUUGCCUACCUUUAUUAUCUUGGAAGCGAGAGUUCCAUGAAGUCUCUUUUUACUUAGCUCAAAAACAUUUUUCAACUGAAGAUUCUUUUGAAGAUAAUUUUGUUGGAAUGAAAUUAUUUUCUUAACCUUCUUGCAGUGGUUGGUUGAAUCUGUUUGUUUCUAAGUGCUGAGCCAUUAUCUUGCGGCUCUGCUUUCCAUUCUCCUAUCAUUUAUAGUUUUGAUGAUUGACAUGUGGGUGUUUAUGUCAUUAGUAGCUAUUAGGGGGUGUUCGUCGGUUGGAAUGGUACGGUGUUUAGACAUUUCGGUUCGGUAUUUUUGGUAUUCGGUUUCUUAAAAUGUGAUGACAAUACUAUACCUAAUUAAUUCAGUAUGGUUCGAUUUCCGUCCUUUCGGUUUUGAUUUAUUUGGUUCGGUAGCUUCGGUUUGUUCAGAUUGGAUAGAGAAUUUUAACUUAUCUUUAUCUUUUAAAAGUAAAAAAUUCUUGAACGAACCACUAAAUCAAAGAAAGUACCUUUUAAAACUUUCAAUUUAUAGAGAGUGAACUGAAGGAAAGGUUCUCUGCAAAGUCAAGUUUACCUUUCCAUGAGCUGCAAAACUUCUCCAUAAUAGAGAGCGAUUAUACUAUAAAAGUGGAGCGAACUCAAGGAAUUUUGCAGCUCAUGGAAGAACACCUCCGAAUCAUCUCAUAUCACAAGAUCUGCAAACUCAUCACACUCUACCAAGUCCUAAAUGAAUUCACAGAUUUCAAGCAGCUUUUGGAUGUUAUAUUGACGGGAGAAAGAUACACCUUAACUAGCUAGCAAAAUUAAUAUUAUACAAGUCCUACUGCAGCAAUGAUUAGUAAAAGAAAAAAACCUAAGGAUAAAUGAAGUGAAAUUUUAGAGCUUUCCUAUAUUUAUGUUAUAAUAAAAAAUAUGUGUAUUGUGUAAGUUAGUAUGUAUUUCGGUACGGUAUCGGUAUUUCGGUAUUUGUUUUUCAAAAUACUAAAUACCAUACUACCAUACCGGAUACCAAAUUUUUUAAAAGCUUAAACCAAAUACUAUACCAAAUACCGAAAUACCGGAUACCAAAUACCAAAUUUCGGUUCGGUAACUCAGUAUAUACAAGAUGCUUAUUCUGCAACUGUAUAAAGGUAGACUAUGUUACAAAGACUUGGGUACAGUUAUUUGGUACAAAGGCACUUCAUUUUAGUAGGCCCUAAAAUCAACAUGCAUGUAUAAGGAUAAAAUGUAUUGACCUAGUAAAGUUUCUAGCGUGUCCCUUUUCGUACGUUUUAAGCCUAAAACAAAAUCUAAUCUUCUGAUUCUACUCUAUUACCCCUUGUUUUCUCUGCCUACCAUACUAGUGGUUUGUUAGUGAUGUAUACAUAGUGAAAAAACAUGAUAUAUAAUAACGAAAUUCAGCUUGGAUCAGAUAAACAUGCACUUGCCAUUUCAUCUGAUGUUACUGUGCUUGUCAAAUCGGCUUUUCAGGUGCAUAGGAUGCAGUGUAGCUGCAGUAGAUGGUCUGUGAAACCCCAAAUAAUUCCUCAUGUACAUCCACCUUUUUUAUUUUAAUUUUUCUUUUAGUAGGUCUUUGAACCCACCUUAUUUGGGACUAAUGCGUUGUUGUUGUAGGUCCUUGAAGUUACCGUCUUCUAAAGCAUUCUUUGUAGGUGGUGUAUGAUAACAUUAUGGCAGCGUGUUCUAGUAAGAAAUAAAUAUAGGGUAAAUUAGAGACAUGAAGUAUAUUAUGUUACGAUACCCUAAUCGGCUUGAAGUUGCAAUUUCUUAAUGUGCAAGAAACUUGAGUAGGUGAUUUGGAUGUUGUCUAUUCAUUUUGGAUUAAGGUGUUUGGUACAUUUCUGAUUAGUCUAUUAAGGGCCUGAACAAUUAUUUGGCAUUUUGAUGUUCUUAUGUGCUAACACCAAAAUGUUGAAGGUAAAUUUUCCAAUGAUCAAAACUGUACAUGUUUUUUUGCAAAAACAUUGUAUGGCACUUGGUGAACUUGUAUCUCCAUUUCCUUGUGCUUUAUUCACGUCAGUACAGUAUGUCCUUGACUAAAGACAUUCCAACUCCACCCAAGAUGAAUAUAAAUAAACAGGAAAAGGAAAAAAAGAAAAAAGAAAAGAACACUGGUCAGAGAAGAGGGGGAAGAAUGAGCAAAGACACAGGGAGGACAUGUAUUAAUUGGACUAUGUUCACGGGCUGACCUACAUUUAAAGAACAUUGGCUGUCAGAAUUUGUCAUUAAGUACGUGUAAUCUUAAUAUACGACUUUGGAUUCCUCAAUAUUUAUGUAUCUUUAUAUAAGUGAAAGGCUUGCUGUAAGACUACUUUAAUUGUUUGAGCUAAAUGAAGCUGCUAAUGCGUUUUGUGAGAUCAAAUUCAUGUUAGUUGGUCGAUAGUUGUUGAUGGUUUUGUUGAAUUAUCUAUCUUUCGAUGGUUGUGAUCUUUAUUCGGCUAUGCAGUGCAGUGGCUUGAGACAAGAAGCAAGGCAUUUGAACCCACUUACUUAUACACCAAAGAGAAGGUAUUGGUGUUGCAUGCUUGUCCUUCCUGUUGUUCAUUUAUGUUUCUUUUCCUAAACUAUUGCGGAUUUCUAAAGUUUGUCUUAUUAGUAAAUUUUUGAGUGCUACCAUUUCUUCCCAGGGUUACUUGUUACUACCCGAGGAAGCUAGGUUGCACCAUAACAUUCGCACAAUAAACAUAAGCAUCUCAGCUUGGCACUCCUGCUUUGGUAACAGGUCAGUUCAUACCCCUUCACUAAAAUUAUCACUUAAAUAGAUAAAGGUGUGUUCUAUGAUUUUCAUUUCGUGCUGUGAACUUCAGUCAGAAGGGCCAUGAUUAUGAUAUCUUUAGCACUUGAAUCAAGGUUGUCAAAAAAAAAAAAUUUUCAUUAUUCUUCUUAUUUUUUUAUUCCUUUUUGUUUUGUUUCCCAUUUAAUGUUUCUGGAGCUUGUUCUAUUUUCCUCUUACCACCGACGUGAUGGAAAAACAUGGGACAUGAUCAUGGACUUGCAAUACAAAUAAUCUUGCCUUCCCCUAUUUCGCUUUUAACUUCUUGCUUGAUUAGCAAAUCCUUCACCCAUAUGACAGUACUUUUGUUGUAUCACUAGUCAUUCAUAAACAAAUUAUAAACACAAGGAUUUCUUUACCCCAACACUUCCUUUUCUUCUUAUGCUCUCUUAUUUGUGAUUACUUGGUUGGUCAAAGUUGGAUUCUCUUCUUGAUUGAAGUUUAUAUCAAAAGAUUUUGAUACACUUAAGUUUUGAUGACUUAUUUAGGUAAAAACAUCAUAUUUAAAUAGAAAGCUUCUUUGUUCCAGGUGGCAGCAACUUCUUAUAAACAGACUUGUGGGAUAUGACACUAUUUUGAUGAAUAGUUUGUUGAAUUCUCCUGGAGAAGGUACUAAGUACUUCAACAUAUCAGCAACUUUUUGCCUAUGCAACUGUCUCACUUGAGUAACAGCAUAACCUUUGGUGCUACAUUUCUUUGUUGUGUUUUAUUUAUAUUUGCUAUAACUAUCAGUUCUGACUGGCAUAGAACUAUAGGAUAAACCAGCUAAGCCUAUCUGAUACUUAAAGCCAGAACCAAAAUAAAUGAGUAACAGUCUCGCUAUAAAUGGGAAAAUCAAAUCAUAUUUCACAUUCUGCUGAAUACAGAACCAGAACUACCUGCACAUAUAUUCAGUCUGAGCAGCUUGAAACACGUUGUGGUUGGUUUAAGCAGCUUAAAGAAAAAGAUGUGUGCACAAUAUGUAGAAUAAAAAUUUAUGGUUGAACAUAGUGGCACAUGAGUUCUUUGUCAUAUUUGUCCCCUACAUUUGACUUUCAAAAGUCAAAUAUGUACAUAUAUAAAUCAUGUGGAAGAUGAAUGAUUUUCAAACACUACAAUCAAUUAAUGCGCCUCAACUUGUACUAUAUAAAUCCUCUAUAUCCAAUGAAAAUAUCCUCUAUUUCAAGUGCGCUCUAUUUGGGCUAGAUUCAUUAGAAUACUAAAUAUUUCUCUUUUAAGACAAAUUUGGAGUUCUCUAAAAUCGGAGGUUCUCUAAAUAAUCAUGCCUACCGUAUAUUCACGUGAAUGUAGCUAACUAGACUAUAAAGACCUUUAAAGGAUUCAUCACAUUAGGGCUAUUUUUUUAGUUUUUAACAUAAAUGGUCCCUUAAGUUUGGGGUAUGUCCAUGUUGUCCCUAAAAUAUAACAAUGGAAAUAUUUAAUCCUUUAAAUUUGCUAAGUUUAAGUACUUUUAAUCUCCUUUAAUAGAAUGUCAAACUCCAUUUGUUAAAACUGACGGAAAAUUUCACCUCUCUAACCUCAACUCGGCUCUUCUUGAAGAAAAGAACAAAAGCACUCCCUUUUUUCUUCGUCAUUCCAAAACGAAGUGUCACACGAAUCCUUCCUUCAGAUGACAACAGCGCCAUGCGUCUCUUCCGCCUCACCAGUUCUAAUGAACUCACCCAAGAGAAUCUUACACCUAACUCCAGUUUUUUGUCAUCUUCCCAUUCCUUCCUGCUCUAUAUAAGCCCACAACAUAGGGACAAGUUUUACACAUACAGAGGACAUCAUGCAGAGCAACAUAACAAGAAAUAUAUACACUCAGGAUAAAGAGUUUCACAAUAGACAUAAACCCAGCUAAUAUUCUCAUCUCAAACAGGAGAGCUCACUGCCAAAUACAUACACAUUCAGUCACAUCCUAAAAAAUGAAAAAAGAUAUUUCACAUUCCCUCACCCCUUUUCUCCAUAAUCUCACGACAGAGACACGCAUGAGCGGAGUGACAAUUGGCGCCCACCUUCUGUGCAAUUUCAUCUGCAAUUUUAGUGUUUACUCACCACGCUCAAGUAGAGGGCUCAUAAAAGAGCAUAUUCACACAUAUACCACAUCCACACUGAGCUCAGCCGAGAAAACUGACACACGCAUUGCACCACAAUACGAUGCACAACUCAUCACUGCCAAAGAGCAGACACAGUCAGCUAUGAUACUCACAAGUGGUCUUCAGAUAUGACUAGCACUUGCAUUUCUUGUGACUUCUCCGUCUAAUAUGAGCUGUCUAGUAACGGCUCUUCCGACAAACAUAUUACAUUAAAAGAGACCAGACGUGCUCAAGUUUGUCAAGCAUUUAGAAUUAAUAUGCUCAAGAUUAUAUUUUAGGGACAAAAUUAGGCCUACCCACUAACAUUAGAGAUCAUUUGUGCUAAAAUCUCGCUAUUUUUCUGUGAUUGUCAACCUAUUGCAACUCUCUUCUUCUAUCCGUGCUGGAACCAGUGGAACGCAACAUAAAUGUAAUUAAUAUAUGGAACUUUUUUUUUUCUUCUGAUAUGUUUAAACAUGGAUUUGAUCUCUACUACCUUGGGAUUGAAGAGUUGUUCUUAUUGUUGUAUAAGUUCAAAUGGACAAGUGUACGUCAUGGAAUAUAGCAAUGUUAGAGUCCAAGUGUCAAAGAAAAUAGUAAAAAAAACAUUUUCCAGGUAUUUUACGUACAUAGAAAUAAAAAGCAAACUAGCAUGAGGGUUUAGCUUCUGGCAGUUGACAAAAAGUCAAUCUAGAAAAACUGAAGCCUGUAAAUUAGAAAACGCCAUAAAUAUGAUAAUCUAGAAGUUCAUGUAGUAUACAGUCAGGAGAGAUUCUAAAGGUGGAGUGAGGGACAGAUGUAUAAUUUUGCAACCAACGAAAUAAUGUGAAUAUAUGUGUACGCGUUCUUGCAGGUGUGAUAGUGCGUGCUUUCUUUGUUGGUUUUGUUUUUGUGGUUUUCAAAUACUCAAGGACAACCAAAUUCUGAUGGUUUUUUAAAAUUAAAAACCAUAUAUCUCCUAAUAUAAUGGACAAACCUGUAGAACUGCGGCCAAAGCCAAAUUCUAGAUGAAUAAUUGGUGUAUUUGUUCAAAUAAUUCUAUGGUCCAACGAACUUUCUCUAUCCCGAUACUUAAAAUGUUUGUGCGUUCAUUCAAACAUCAUCUUAUGAUACCUUUAUUCUAAAUCCUGAUAAUUAAAUCUUAGUGCUCUUCUGCAGCUGGUUGUCCCCCUUACUUGUGUAGCAGACUUAACUGAUUCUUAGCUUGAGCCUAAUUAGUUUUCACUUUUGCAUGCUUUCAAAGUGCCUCUAGUUUUGGAUUGGGAGAAUCCCGUAACCACUUGAUUUAUGAAGGUUUAUUUAAGUCUCUUUAGCAAAGCUUACUUUCAUUUUGUUGUCUUUCGUUGUGCUGAUGCUUCAUGGAAUUUUGUGCAGGUUAUCUUUAUAAUCACCAAACGAAGGAGUUCUAUAAUCUAACUUACGCUCAUGAGCAACCUGAAAGUUCUGCAAGAUUUGGAGGUGUGUCAUUCUUUUCUAUUAUCUGCCAAGUCUAACAUAAUGUGUUUAUGACGGGUUACUGCUUCCCAUUGUUUGAUUGAACUUUAUUGUGAAAAUUGGAAUUUACUUUUCCUUAGAUAUACUCAUCUCAAGGUUGUUUAACCCUGUACCAGUGUUAUCAAAGGCGAAAAGGUUGUAUAUGUAGUCCAAGACCAAUAAUUAUAAGCAUGAAUAACAAGUAUAUGGACAAAAAAAGUUGAAGAAAAAAUAACGAUAAAGUGAAAUAUCAAUUGUUCAGUGUCGCAUUUUCAGGAUUAUACUCAUGGGCAAGGAAAGUAUGCCUUAGAGCCUUGAUGCGACACUGAAGCGCCCGCAAAGCGAGGCGAAGCGCUCAACAUGUUUUGAGCCUCGCUUUAGGGCUUAAGCGCGCUUUAAGCGCUCCUUUGACAACACUGCCCUGAACCAUGUCAGGGUAUGGUGUCUAGUGACUUUAAACAAUGUGUUUUUUUUAGUUUUUUUGCUAAAGUGUAACACUUCCAUUCUGUCUAGCAUGUAAUGCAAUGGCGGGGUGUAGAGGUUUUAGUCUGAGGCAGUUAAUUCACAGAUGAACAAAAUUGUAUUACUUGAAAGUCAAGUUGCUUUCUUCUGUGUCUGAAUUUGAAUUUGUGUAACUGUUAUGUAAAUUCCAUCUGACAUACUGUAGUUGCAUUUGCAUGUAUACUGAUCAUAUGAAGCUUUGUAAUGAGCACUUCAAAUACACGUGGUUAGAUUUGUUAUGAGCACUUCAAAUACAUGUGAUUAGAUCUCAUCUGAGCAUUUGCUUUAUAUUUCUUGCAGACUACCUUGUCACGAAGUGUGGUGUACUCAUGAUGUCGCUCUUUGUUUUCUUUACCACAACAAUGUCAGUUUCAUUUACAUUAAGAGAGACCCAAACUCGCAUGCUGAAGUUCACGGGUAGUUUCUCUUUUUAUAUAUUUGAUGCUAUGAAAUUUAGCAGCAUCUUAUAUAGCGAAUUUAUAAUGCCAUAUAUUUUGGCAUCUGAAUAAUGUACAAUCAUAUUUUAAUUUUGGAACAAUCACAUGUCAACAUGAAAAACAAAGAAGAAAAAUAUGUUUGCUCCCAGGGAUUUUGUCUAUUGGUAAGAGCGUAGCAAGUAAUGUGUGGGUUAGGCACACAUCACGGGUUCGAGCCAUGCCACAAACAAAAGCCUGGUAUUUAAGAGAAGGGUAGAGGGGCGGACCUAUUAUCCACUGAGUUUCGAACCGCACGCCAUUGGCCCUCGGGGAUUUCUCGGUUAUCAAAAACAUAAUAAAGAUAUGGUUAUGCUGCUGCUGAAGUAUGAAGCACUCGUUCGUGUGCAAAUACCCUGUUAACCUUGUAUACUAAACGAAUGUUUCAAUCAUUGAUUCAUUGAGUAUCCACUACUUGCUGUUUGUUUUUGUUUGAUGUACCCUUCCUUAUCCUUUCUUAGACCUACUCUGUAAACUAUGUACAGUGCAGCUACAGCAUCAUGCUCGGCAUAGGCUUCCAACAUUUCAGUUGAUCUUUGUGCACGUAAUUGAGUCCCUUGUUUUUGUACCAGUAAGCAGACUGCUCAUUUCUCAGUUAAUUUCAUGUACAUCCGUUUUGUAGUUGGUGAAUGUUGGUUAUAUAUCUGAGGUCAUUCAGACAUAACCUAGAGUUCGACAUGCAGAUCAUGAUAGGCAUCCUAUUUUUUCUGUUCGAGUUCUAUGAUGAUCAGCUGCUGGCUUUCAUGGUGUUAAUUUUUGUUUGGCUGUGCGAACUGUUUACGCUAAUCAGGUCUCUCUCUCUCUCUCUCUCUAUAUAUAUAUAUAUAUGUGUGUAUGUGUGUCUUUGUCACACACUCUCAUACACAUAGACAUUGAUUACUCCUAUCUGUUAGUUACAAAUGACAAAUUCAGGUCGUACUUGGUAGAGGCCCGGGUUAUAUAACUUCCAGAUAAUCAAAACAUUGAAUGCUGUUUUGACUAUCCAAUGCAAUACUCAGUGAAAAAGCUGAUCCUUGUAUAGGAAAACCUAGAUAUUGGUCUUCUAUCCAUCUUUGAUACUAGUUUAUAAUGGAACCAGAGAAACGUGUCUAGUGGUGUAUUUCUGAGUGUCUACAUCCUGAUGGGUCUUAUAUAUAUAUGGGUGAUGAUAGUCCGGUCUAUAUCUAUUUGAUUAAAGGAACACAAUUCUACCACCUCUUUAAAACUGUUUUAAGGAAUUGUUAAUUUAUACUGCCUGAAAUUUUUCCCAAGAAAUAGUAGGGUAAUAAACUGGCUAAGAGAAGGGAGGAUGGUAGUUAUUAGCAUAAGAAUGGAAGAUAGUCUGGUGCUCCCUUAAUAACAGCCACACAUCCCCAUCUUGGAAGACCUCUAUCAGCAUUUGGUCAGGCUGCACUACUUUCACUCAAGGGGCUUAAUGGCUAAUUUCUUUCAUCAGCAGCUUUUGUCAGUAUUCUAUGUUGAUCAGAAGAAUAACCCUGUAAUCUUGUAUCUAUCAUUACUCGUGAAUGUAGUUUUACAUUUGCCGUCUUUUUUAUUUUUUGUCUUUUCUAUUGUUUAUUUGCCAAGAUAAACUUUCUGUGAAGGAGCACAGUAGGAAGGGGUUCUGUUCAUUGGAAGCCCUAGUUUCCUAGAGGAAAACCGAGGAAAAAUACUCUGCGGGGGGCUGAUUCAGCGAACCAAAGAAGUUCUUGACAAAACAAAAGGAUAAAUGUCAGUUAGAAUAAAAGGGUGAAUAACUGCAAAACUGAAUCUGGUUUGAUCUAUUUAUAAAAAAAGAGGACUGUAAGAACCCUAGUCCUUAAAUAAUCUAGGACUUGUAAUUGUGUAAAAACAAAAGAUAAGGAUGAAAAGGAAAGAAACAAGUAUAAUCCUGCUACCAAGAAAUUUUAUGAAAAAUAACUAAGAUAAAUAGCCGAAAUAAGAACAUUAACCAUUGAGGACUGCUAUAAUUUUGCUGUUACAGUAGCUCGAUGCCUGUGAAGAAGAUGGUAUUCAUCUAGGUUUUAGUGCAAAGGACAAUCUUUUGGGGUUGGCAGUCUGAUAUAAGGCUUAUCUGUAAGGAGGUUUAGUUAAAUAUGAUGACUUACUGUGAAGAAUUUUAUUUCUCAUGUACCAUCCUUUCUCUUAUUGGCUGUCUGAUAUGAUGAUUUAUUUGGUUAUCUCUUGCAGCGUACGCACACCAAUAUCAAUGAAGUACUUUCCCCGCUUCUUUUUGCUCUAUUUUCUGGUUUUCCACAUCUACUUCUUUUCUUAUACUUAUGGUAUGUCCAAAUGACUUGAUGUUUCUUGAGGGUCAAAUUCUGCUUAUUGUUCCUUAUAUGACAACAUGGUUUUAUCUUCUCAGGUUUUUCUUAUCUAGCACUAUCGACAACAGCUGCAUUUAUGCAACACCUUAUCUUAUAUUUCUGGAACCGUUUUGAGGUAGGAUGCAAAUUUCGAUAUUUAUAGUAGUUAGAGGAUUCUCUAUUUGUUUUAGGGGCUUUUGCUUUCUUUAACAAGUCUAGACACUAGAAAACUGUAAGAUUGUUUUAGGGGAUUUUGCUUUCUUUAACAAGUAGAUGGGUGUGUAUAUAUACUGUAUGCUUCCUUUACUUUCUAUAGUACAGUUACAUCUGAAAAAUGUGUUACUUGUGUUGGAAUGCUUGAGGGUUUGUAUUAUACUCCUUUGAUCCUGUACAAUCAUGUCCUACAUAUGUUGCAGGUGUUAAAAAACAGGGUGAAAAAGAAGGAAACAUUAAUUUCUUAAAACAUUUUUAGCACAAUUUUCAUCUUUGUUUAUUCCCCCGUGGAGAGGAAAUGUCAAACCAAAACUUUUAUCAUUAGGAGCGAAUCCCACUGACAGAAACACAAGAGGAAUAGCUAAUUGAAGUAAGAUGAUUAUCCUACAAUUUCCCUCAAUUUAAACACAGGUUUCUUCUGACAUAGUGUUCUCAAUUUGCCUAUGAAUUCAGAUUGAUAAUGAUAACCUCAUGCUUGAAUGUAUUUGCUUUGGGAAAUUCCAUGCUUGAUCCAUCUUUUCCUGGCUAGAUGGUAGCAAAUCUAACACUCGAUGGACUAGGUUUACUACUGAUUGAUGCUGAACAGUCUUCGCUUACACUUGAUCUCCAUUUGAAUUCCUGGCUUUCUUUCAAAUCAGAUGGGAGUUUAUCUGUAUCAAUAUCAAAUUGUUUUAAAAGGAAAAUGAACUUCUUAUCAUCUCAACCAAAUAUAAAUUGGGAUUUGUCCCCGUAUUUUUGUCGUUCAGGUUCCAGCUCUGCAGAGAUUUAUGCAAAAUAGACGCUCACAUUUUCAACAGCAUCCUGACUUUCAUAUCACAUCUUCUACGAUUCUUGCAUCAACUUUGCACAUCACAAGAUUAAAUGCAAGGAGCCCUGCUCCAACUAAUGUUGAUAUGCCUCCUGGUCCUGGGCCUAGAAUUGAUCCAUCAGUGCCAAGAAACGGUGCCGCUGAAUUUUCUGGAGUUCCAGAUCGACGAGGGAAUGGAAACCAAAAUGAGUUUGGUAAUCCUCUUCAACUUGGAGGGCAACCUGAUGCUCCCCAGUCUGAAACUGGAACUAAUCCUGGUUCUAUGAACUCAUUCAGCAACUUGUUGCUGUGGAUAUUAGGGGGUGCUUCUUCUGAAGGUCUAAACUCCUUUCUCUCUAUAUUUCGAGAUGUACGAGACCAUGGUCAAGUUUUUGCAGGACCACCUAGACAAGAAACUCAUGCCCCCCAAAAUGCUGAAUAGAUGGAAGCUGCAAUGUUGGGCAACCUAAGGUGUGUAGUGCACAAAAAGAGUAUUGGAAAACUAUCCAUGAGAAUGGUGAAAUGAGGCUAAGGAAUGAGGAAAGUAGGCUUUCAUCGUCUGGGCAGAUAUGGCGAGAUUGUAGAGAAUUCGGUAGUUGAUGAGCCACCGAAGGGAAAACUUUUUUCCACCCUUAACUUUAUGUACAGCGUAGGAAUUGAAGAUGUGGAAGGAGGAUGUAGAAAACCUCCUCCUUUAUGGAAAUUAUGUAAAUUUAUUUCAUUGUCAUCUAUCUUUUUCCUCUUUAAAAAUUGUGUCUAUAUUAGUUUGCAUCUUAUACAUGCUUGCCGUUAUUGUUCUGUAUAUCUUGUAUUCAAGUUGUCUUCCCGUGUUCUUAUACUUUAUGUUCAGAUUCUUGGUCAUAUACUUUUUUUUUUUUAANNNNNNNNNNNNNNNNNNNNNNNNNNNNNNNNNNNNNNNNNNNNNNNNNNNNNNNNNNNNNNNNNNNNNNNNNNNNNNNNNNNNNNNNNNNNNNNNNNNNNNNNNNNNNNNNNNNNNNNNNNNNNNNNNNNNNNNNNNNNNNNNNNNNNNNNNNNNNNNNNNNNNNNNNNNNNNNNNNNNNNNNNNNNNNNNNNNNNNNNNNNNNNNNNNNNNNNNNNNNNNNNNNNNNNNNNNNNNNNNNNNNNNNNNNNNNNNNNNNNNNNNNNNNNNNNNNNNNNNNNNNNNNNNNNNNNNNNNNNNNNNNNNNNNNNNNNNNNNNNNNNNNNNNNNNNNNNNNNNNNNNNNNNNNNNNNNNNNNNNNNNNNNNNNNNNNNNNNNNNNNNNNNNNNNNNNNNNNNNNNNNNNNNNNNNNNNNNNNNNNNNNNNNNNNNNNNNNNNNNNNNNNNNNNNNNNNNNNNNNNNNNNNNNNNNNNNNNNNNNNNNNNNNNNNNNNNNNNNNNNNNNNNNNNNNNNNNNNNNNNNNNNNNNNNNNNNNNNNNNNNNNNNNNNNNNNNNNNNNNNNNNNNNNNNNNNNNNNNNNNNNNNNNNNNNNNNNNNNNNNNNNNNNNNNNNNNNNNNNNNNNNNNNNNNNNNNNNNNNNNNNNNNNNNNNNNNNNNNNNNNNNNNNNNNNNNNNNNNNNNNNNNNNNNNNNNNNNNNNNNNNNNNNNNNNNNNNNNNNNNNNNNNNNNNNNNNNNNNNNNNNNNNNNNNNNNNNNNNNNNNNNNNNNNNNNNNNNNNNNNNNNNNNNNNNNNNNNNNNNNNNNNNNNNNNNNNNNNNNNNNNNNNNNNNNNNNNNNNNNNNNNNNNNNNNNNNNNNNNNNNNNNNNNNNNNNNNNNNNNNNNNNNNNNNNNNNNNNNNNNNNNNNNNNNNNNNNNNNNNNNNNNNNNNNNNNNNNNNNNNNNNNNNNNNNNNNNNNNNNNNNNNNNNNNNNNNNNNNNNNNNNNNNNNNNNNNNNNNNNNNNNNNNNNNNNNNNNNNNNNNNNNNNNNNNNNNNNNNNNNNNNNNNNNNNNNNNNNNNNNNNNNNNNNNNNNNNNNNNNNNNNNNNNNNNNNNNNNNNNNNNNNNNNNNNNNNNNNNNNNNNNNNNNNNNNNNNNNNNNNNNNNNNNNNNNNNNNNNNNNNNNNNNNNNNNNNNNNNNNNNNNNNNNNNNNNNNNNNNNNNNNNNNNNNNNNNNNNNNNNNNNNNNNNNNNNNNNNNNNNNNNNNNNNNNNNNNNNNNNNNNNNNNNNNNNNNNNNNNNNNNNNNNNNNNNNNNNNNNNNNNNNNNNNNNNNNNNNNNNNNNNNNNNNNNNNNNNNNNNNNNNNNNNNNNNNNNNNNNNNNNNNNNNNNNNNNNNNNNNNNNNNNNNNNNNNNNNNNNNNNNNNNNNNNNNNNNNNNNNNNNNNNNNNNNNNNNNNNNNNNNNNNNNNNNNNNNNNNNNNNNNNNNNNNNNNNNNNNNNNNNNNNNNNNNNNNNNNNNNNNNNNNNNNNNNNNNNNNNNNNNNNNNNNNNNNNNNNNNNNNNNNNNNNNNNNNNNNNNNNNNNNNNNNNNNNNNNNNNNNNNNNNNNNNNNNNNNNNNNNNNNNNNNNNNNNNNNNNNNNNNNNNNNNNNNNNNNNNNNNNNNNNNNNNNNNNNNNNNNNNNNNNNNNNNNNNNNNNNNNNNNNNNNNNNNNNNNNNNNNNNNNNNNNNNNNNNNNNNNNNNNNNNNNNNNNNNNNNNNNNNNNNNNNNNNNNNNNNNNNNNNNNNNNNNNNNNNNNNNNNNNNNNNNNNNNNNNNNNNNNNNNNNNNNNNNNNNNNNNNNNNNNNNNNNNNNNNNNNNNNNNNNNNNNNNNNNNNNNNNNNNNNNNNNNNNNNNNNNNNNNNNNNNNNNNNNNNNNNNNNNNNNNNNNNNNNNNNNNNNNNNNNNNNNNNNNNNNNNNNNNNNNNNNNNNNNNNNNNNNNNNNNNNNNNNNNNNNNNNNNNNNNNNNNNNNNNNNNNNNNNNNNNNNNNNNNNNNNNNNNNNNNNNNNNNNNNNNNNNNNNNNNNNNNNNNNNNNNNNNNNNNNNNNNNNNNNNNNNNNNNNNNNNNNNNNNNNNNNNNNNNNNNNNNNNNNNNNNNNNNNNNNNNNNNNNNNNNNNNNNNNNNNNNNNNNNNNNNNNNNNNNNNNNNNNNNNNNNNNNNNNNNNNNNNNNNNNNNNNNNNNNNNNNNNNNNNNNNNNNNNNNNNNNNNNNNNNNNNNNNNNNNNNNNNNNAUAUAUUGGGGUGAGGCGGCGGUGCCGCUUUGUGUGAAAAUGGGUAUUGUGUUUACACCUCCACCUGCAUACAUUGGGGUAAGGUGGCAGGGCCGCUUGAGUAUAGAUUUGGUAUUGUGCUUACACCUCCACCUACAUACAUUGGGGUGAGGAAGCGGGGCCGCUUUGUGUGAAAAUGGUUACAGAGAAUCUCACCCUAAAUUCUAUAAAUGUUAAUGACAGCUCUUGAUAAGCUUGCUUUGGUUUAAACGGCUAUCUAUGAUAUUCUAUUGUCGCCUUGAUUCAUCAUAUUCAUACUGUAUUUUCGAGUUCUUAAAUUGGUGUUUGGUUUUCAUACUAAUACUAUUCGACAUGUACUAACGUCCCUUUUUUUCGGGGGAACUGCAUCUUUAGUGGAUGUAGGUGGUUCCACAGCGGAGGAUACUGACUAGUGAUAGCAAUGCUCAUUCUUCCCAGCUGACUUGGUGAGCCCCAUCUCAUUCCGGGGUUGUGCAUCUUUUAUUUCGUAUGUUUUAUCGUGUUUUGAGGUAUAGCCAGAGCCUUAUUUCCGGCACUAUCAUUGUACUCUUUGUAUUUUUAGAGGCUCCGUAGACUAAGUUUGGGUUGUAUAUGGGUGGUGUGACUAUUAAACAAGUUGUGUUAUGAUUAAAUCACUCGUUCCACUUUGAACCAUGAAGGGGUGUGUGUGUGUUUUGAGAAUUAUUAAAUGAGAUAACUAAUGGUAAUGAAUUGGUAUUGUAGACAUGAUCACCUUAUUGUCUAAUUAACGAAAAUAUGUAUUAUCCUUAUUCAUGGAUGAGUUUGGGUAGAAGGAAAUCUAAUAGGCUUGCUCGACCGGGUUCACUCGGUUGAGCGCAGGUCGCGCUCCCUGAGUUUGGAGUGUGACAUGUGGAUAGAGGGAUUUGGUGGAUUUACCGGGGUUACUGAGGUAUGACUUGAGUUGUGGGGACUAAAGUUGGGUGUUGUUGUUUUGGCGUGAUGUGGAAGGAAAGUGGUCAAGAAUUGAAUCUAACGAAUGAAAGCGGGGUGGUUGAGGGAACGUUGUCAUGGCCAGAUGUGCUAAUUCCCUGAUAUGAUGUACUUCCUCCCUUAAAGACUCAAUCUCCUGGGCCAUCUUAGCCACAUGUUCAUCAUUCUAGGUAUCUUCCUUCUCUCCUGAUCGCCCCGGGCUAUUGGCUAUGACCAGAGCAUGUUCAAUCGAGUUUUCUGUAGCAGACAUCUUUGCCUUUGAUCUUAGAUUGUACGAUGGUUCCCCCAAUUUUGGGUCGACAUAAACCAACUUUUCUUUUAUGGAGUAAUAAUAAAGUAAAGAAAAAUAAACAAAAGUCAGUUUCUUCAUUUAUAUAAGCAGGAAAUCACACAAAGCAAUUAAAUCACGUAUUCAUGCUAGUGCAUUUUCUUAGAAUUCAUGGGACCACUCAUUGCCGGCGGUAGGCCUAAAUCGCAGAGGUUUGACAAACAAUUAGACUUGACACAUUUAGAUCCGAAGCAAUUUUUUUUUCUUUGAUAAUGUUAGGACUGAGUUAAGUGGGAACAAAGGUUACAUCACUAUUUCUGAUAUUCAUAGAACUGCAUGGGCUUAAACAACUUGCCCUUUAGGAUAGUAAGAAAAAACUGGGGAUAAGGGUACAAAUUGGGAAAGAAGGGAAAAUCAACCAACAUCUAGUAACCAUCCCCGGAAUCAUUUCCCAUCUCCUAUUCUUCUUCUGGCUCUUCCUCAGGAUCUUCCACCAGGUCUUUUUCAAACUCCUCCUCAUCAUCGUUGAACUGAGACCCUUCCUUUGGAUCUUCUUCCGGCUCUAUCCAAGACUCUAUUUGGAUGCACUCCACUACCCGAUCAUCGUGUUCAGCAGGUGGCAACAUGUGAUCGAUGGAUCCUGGGAACACUUGACGGUGCAUUGAAGUAGUCACAAAGUAAUGUGGCAGAAUCUCUUGGUAGAUUUGCAAAGCAGCCAAUGUGUCCUCUAGUCAGGCUAUACCCUCUCUGAUUGGUCGGGCUAGCUCGUCUUCCUCGUUGAUCCAGACCUAAUACUUAGGAGUACACCAUAACUUUUGACCCAACGGCAUAGUGAUCAGAUCAUUCCACUUUUCUUGGAGUCAUCUUAUCCUAAGGAUUGGAAUAUAUCCGUUGUAGUCAUCCACAUAUAGCGAUGUCCUCGUCCAUAGAGGCAUGUCCAGGAUUAUCCCAAACUGUCUGAGAACCCGCAAGGGUGAGUAUGGUUGGAUGCCCUCAAGUCUGAUCAACUCAAUGAAAUAUUUAUGAGGAGUCCUUAAGAUUGCCCUCCCUCCUAACCAUGACAGCUUCCAGUUGACCCAUUCUCUACUUAGAUUAGUCACUAUUUCUCUCCACUCUUCUUGCCCAUGCGGGGAGACCCAGUGUCUCAUCCUCUCAUUGUGGCUGCGGAUCAUGUUGCUGAUGCCCACUAAGUAGUCAAUGGUGGCCUCUCGCUGGAAUAAAUGUUUUGUGGCCCAUAUCUGAAGUUGCAACUUACAACCCUUAAAGAAAUCAUACCCCCAUGCACAUGCAGACAAAGCUCUUGGAAUCUCAGCUAACACCAUCGGCACCAGAGUAGCUUGAAGGUUACCAUGGAAGGUUGCCAGAACCACGGGUAAUAAGUUGAUGUUGAUCCGACCCCUCCUCUACGGGAAGACCAACAAUACCAACAGUGCUAAUGAGAAAGUGAUAGGCCUGAGACUCUCCCACGUUGCUUGAUCACACUAAAACUUUCCCGAAUACCACUCAUAGCUUUCGCGAUGUCCAAAUCUAUCGAACAGCUGAUCUAGGCUCACCCAUCCGACCUUGAUAUUUCUCAAACCUCGGCUGUUAGCCAUACCCAAAGCAUCCAAGAACAUAUAAUUGGACAUAGUGACUGGUAGUAUUGCCUUCCUUUCUAUGAAUGGCAGCUCCGUGAAACUAGUAACUUCUUCCAAUCUCGGUACUAAUUCACAGUCAGCAAAUUUGAACACCACCUUGGCCGGAUCCCAGAACUCUAUCAGUAGGCGAGUGAGCACCAUGUCUACUUGGAUGUUUAGCAAAGCGGCCAGUGCCCCCAGGUGUGUCCGAAUCUCAUCUCCAUUUUUUCGGCGAAUGUUCUUCCACCACUUCUUCAACUUGUGUGGUGCUCCUAUCACCAUGUAAAUCUCGGGGAUGUUUUGGUUGAUUUUCAUUUUAUGAAGUGGGUAAAGAAAGAUUUUUGGUAAGUGUUUGUUUCGGAUCUUUAGAUGUCUCAUCAGGUUUGUUCGUCUUUCCACAGAAGUCAUGUCGUUGGGUGCAUGACCCAUUGACAUUAUGGUAGUUUUCCUAAUUAUGUGUCAAUGCCAAUGACCAACUCACCUAAGGUUUAUCUAAUAUGACCUAUUUUUGCUAGAGUAGAGUGUUUCCUACUUUUGAGUUGGACUGAAGACUGCGAGAAGUUAUGUCAGUUGACCUGACAAAACCAUUCUCUGAUACUAGAGAGUUUUGAAAAGAAGGUUCGGAGGGGUGUAAAAGAUAACCCUCUCAUGCCAUUGUGUGUGAUAGUGUACGGCCAAGACUCGAUAGGAAGAAACGUGAUGAUAGUAUAUGUAAAUAGGUAAAGGAUAAGGGUGUAGCAACAACCACCUAAUAUUUAAAGGUAUAUCAGGGUACCUAUUUAAUUACUAAAUGUUAUAUUCUUUACAAGUCUGCUAAUUGGUGAGAUUAUGGGUAAGGGUUCUUGUUCUUCUAAGGGAAGGUGUUAGGAAUCCCUUAAAAUCUACAUGAGGUAGCUCCAUAUGACUUAGACUAGAUUUAGGACUAAUUGUUUGUGCUAUGCCUUAACUAGUGUUCAGAAAAGUAUAGCUUACCAUAUAUUAGGAUAUAAUAUCUAUAAGGGAUGAGUGUAUUUUUAAAAGGAAAUGAUUUUAUGAAAAGAGUCUUUGAAGAUAAUAGUUAUAUAUAUAAUUGAAAGAGUUUAAAAUAUGUUCAUGAUGAUUUAUAUUUAUGAAUUAUGUAAAAAGGGACUAAGUUAUAAAACACUUUGUAUCUUAAAAAUAUGGUUGUUUUAUGUAAUAAAAUAAAGAUGUUAUAUGAAAAUGAGCGUAGGAUGUACCUUGCUUUCAAAAUCUCAAUUCCUACACUUGAGGAAGUCGUUUGAAAAUUUUUCGCUGAUUGGCGACACUUUGUUUUGAAAGGUUCGAUUUUCUUUUAGAAGACCAGUAUCAGAUUCCAUUUUUUUGUUUUGAAAAUAGAUAUUGUCGUCCUUUGCUAAGCUAUUUUUGACUUCAAAACUUUCACGAAUUGUUAGUAAGGCAUAAGAUAUUAAUGACAUGAGCAGUACAGGUUAACAAACAAAAAAUAAUAAUUACUAUUUAGUCUAUUAUUACUUUUAAUCCUAUGUUCUUUAUGGCUUGCCUAAGUUGCUUACAUAAUUCAAAGGAUGAAGAAAAAUAUUUUAAUCAGAUAUGAUAAGUGCAGUGUCAUAUACAUGUAAGGAAAUAUAAAUAACAUAAUAUAAUAAAGCAUCGAGGAGUAAGGAAGGCCUCUCGUUUGGUCCUGAAAAAGGUAGGCCCAGCAAACAGUAGGAAUGGAUAUUAGUGGGCUUCAAACUCCCAAGUGCGCGGGUAAAGAUUUAGGCCUGAGUUCUUUUGAAAACUCAGCAGGCUCAAUUUUUAUACAUGUUCAAAAAUAAAGCGAGAAAGUCAUCAGAUAUAAUACACUAUACAAUCAUACAUGACAUAUAUAGGUAAAUGACUUAAACAAAAUAUAACAAACCGAUAGUAAUUUGAAUUACGAGAGUUCAUACUAAUGUGGGGUCACCUAUGGCGAAGUGAGUUACUUUGAAGACCUUUUGUUGUCAUUAAACACUAAACCUAAAAGGAGUAAUAAAUGUCAAUAGAUUAGAGGCUAAGGGUAGAGUUCUGUUCAAGGCCAAGACUCUUUUUGGAUCCCUGACACUUUAAAGUUUCCAAGGGUCUCAAGGCCCGGGGCAGUGCUUGUGCCAGGCAGAGUAGCCCAACCAAUAGUUAAACUCUACUCCCAAAUACCCCUAACCACUCACACUCAUUCUUCCCUACAGGUUUAAGUGUCAAUAAGGAAUAUUCAAUAUGAAUACCAACACCAUAGUAAUACCAUGCCACAUAAGCACAUAUAUAGAAUACCACAAGACAACCUAUUCAUAUUAUUAUAACCAUAUUUCAAAGAUAAAUGGAUGAUUCAUUAUGAGUAAUAUGCUAAGCAGGUUCAAAGAAAUCAGCUCCAAACACACAUAGAGGGAGGAAUAUUAUCAUAUUACUAUUAAAGAAUUAAAACAUAUGAGAUCAUAUAUCUUAAGAAUAGGAAAGCAUAUAUCCCCAGUUUGCAACAAUUACGAACACAAACACAUAUGCCCUAACAAUCUUCAAUUAGACCAAUCAAAUAUUGGUUUUAACUUAUGCCUUGCAUACACAUAGGUUAACAGCCCCAGUUGAAUCUCCUUAAAGUAUUCACAAAGAUAUAGGAGAACAUCUUCGAUUAACUUCUAACGGGGAUUAGGAGAGGGAAGAUUGACAACCAUAGUUAAGCCUCCUGAGGAUUGUUAACAGCACUACAGGUUAAUCACUAUAGCUAAUGUUCUCUAAAGAGUGUCAAUACAGAUAUAGGUCAACAACUCCAAAUAGAGAUACAGAUCAAUAACUUUUAUUAAGAGGCACAAGUUGAUGACUUCAAUAAAAACAUUCAAAAAGUUUUAACAGAGGUUCAAAGACAAUGCAGGCAUGUAUGUGAUCAUGAAUGACAAACAGAGGCACCGGAGAACAAUAAUGAGUGCAGGAUUACAAGAACAUAGACAAAGGACACUUAGCAGAGGAUAAAUUAUGCAAGUAUUACUAACAACAUCAUCAGAUGAAUUCCAAGAAAAUGAUAAGGGUAUCAUUACAUUGAAGAAACAUGUUAAGCAUAUCGGGGAUAGGAUCUUAGGUAUGAUGGAACUUAGCAACACUAUUUUAGUUAAACAAAUAUGUUAAUACAUCUCAUCCUUACUCCAUGGCUUAAACUAAGUGUAAUGUAAUCUCAGAACAUACACAAAAGUGAUACAAAGAUCCAACUAGAUUAGGGCGGGCAUGCAUAAACAGCCAUGAGUUUAAUCAAGUGAUUAACAGGAUCAUAGAGGCAUAUUAAAGAGAUAAGAACAGGUUUAGAGUCAUGAUCUGGUAUUUCGAAACUAAGGUAGCAAACUAGUUUUCAUUGAAAUGAUUCAUACUUUGUUCAAAUCCGGACCAGUAAGUGAACGACAAAGUAACAUUCGAAGUAGAUAAGCAUAAUAGUAAGAAUAAUGCUAAUAGAAUCAUUAAAGAGGUCUGGAGCUAGGUAUUAGAAACAUAGAGAAGUUCUUUAGCCACUUUCAAAGUUAACAGCAGACAUGAGUCAUCGAAUACACAUCAAUAUCAACAUAUAAUUCUGAUUUCAGCAACUUAAGAAAGUUCAUGAUAGCUGAAUCUACUUAACAUUCGUACACAUACAAAACAGUAAAAAAUAAUUAACACAUUACUUGAUAAAAUUAUUCAGCAAAGGUAGUAAAGCAUGUCAUAUUCAGGAAUUUGAACUAGUAAAUGAAGAAUAAGGUCAAGGUCUUACUGACCUUUUUGGGGGCAGCAGACCAAACGAGUGUUCAAAUUAUCCUUUAGGAAAACCAAGAGCUCAAGCUCUCAAUCAGUAUCACACUCGAAAUCAGAAAGAGAGGAAAAGCUGAAAUUGAUCAAAACAUAAACUUUUAUCGAGAUUUCCCAAACAAGUAUUAAAUUUUCAAAUGCUAAGUGUAGUUGGUAGGUAUAUCUUGUUGUGUGUUAGGUCUAGUUGGUAAGAGCAAUGAAAGCCCUAUAUAUAGUGGCCAUCGAGCCAUUAGGGUUUCAACAUAUUCAAAUCGAUAGUGGAAGAUGACGAAAGACGGAUGAUGAUAGCAAGGAGGGUGAAAUCAGACUAAAAACAGAGGGAAAAUGAUGAAGAAGUUUACCUGAGAGGAGGAAUCGACCGUUGAAAGCAAAGAACCAAUGAACAAAUCCUAAAACCCAGAGGUCACUGCAUUUGACCUCUGGGUAUAGAAUUCUCAUGAUGAAUCUCUGAAGAAGCUCCUAACGAGCGCAGAACACACACUUAAAUAUGCUCGCUAGUCAAAUAUAGUAUAAUAUAAUGUCGUAUCGACAGGGAUUGGAGUUAAAUAGUAUUUUGUAGUUUAUAGCUUGGUUGUUAUCCAAGAUGAUCAACAGUUGAGAUUUGUGUGAUUAAAAACUAUAAUUAACUAAAAGUCUAAACUAUUGGCUAAUGACAAUCGCGACAAGAGUAAGCAAAGAAGAUAUCAAUGGUAAAAAUAGGAGUUGAUUGGAUAGGUGCAAGAUACUUGUCUGGGAUUUAACUCUAGUCAAUUCACUUAUAAGGUUCAAGUGAGUCUCUUGAAUUCACUCAAUUAUUAGUUCAAACGUUCAGUGGAAACUCCUCUCUCGAUUAAGUCUAAACCUCACAAGAUGAACUAAGUUAAGCUCGGUGAAGAUAUGCAAGAAUUCAUAGUGGAUUGGUCUUUCGGAGAACUUCUUCCGAUUAUCCUCCUAACUAGGUCUAAACAAUAACUCAACUAGCCUCUUUCGAUUACUAUGAAGAAUCAAUCAAUUCAACCAACAAGAUAAUGCAAAAACAUCACAAGUUAUGCCUCUUUCAAUUACAUGAACAUAUGAAAAUAGAUGUAACCUCUUGUAGGCAGACUAUUCCUUGGUUGUGGACUAUGAAGAUAUGUUUAGAAUUAGAUAGAUGAUAGUAUGUGUUAUAGAUAGGUUACUAUGGACUUUUAGAAGGUUAUUUACCUUUUUGGGGAUGAUUGGAAUUGGUUUGGGGGCUAUUGGUAGGCCUAAUGAGAAGGUGUAUUCUAUAUUAGAUUGGGUUUGCUUACUCUUACACAAAUUUUAUCAUAGGUAUAUCAUCGGGCAGAAUGGAUGUUCUUCAUGCCCUGGCCUAUGUUAUGUGUUUCUCUCUUAUGCUAUGAUGGGUUGUGAGGCUACUUGAUUAUUCACAUGUAUGUUGUGAUCCUGUUUAGGCCUUGUGGCGAUAUAUGGGCGAGUUGGCUCUUGUGAUGUUGAUUUGCUUAUUGCACCUUAGUCGUGCUUUCCUUUUUUCGUAUUGUAUUAUGCCUAUUCAUCUCGCCGCAAUUAUAUUCAUGCACUCUAUCAUGCUUGAUGUUGACGCACAUGUGCUUAGUGAGAACGAGCAUUAUGACUCGAUGGGUAUCCCUAUGUGGAUUGAUAUGUUUGGGAUCGGGUUGCGCGCUAACUGAGUUAUGUGGGAUACCCUUCCUUGUGUUUAUUUCGUGUGUUUUGUUUUCCCUUUGUGGGACUUUUGUUGUUAUAUAAAUUGCACUUGUUGGAUAGUCCUCUUAUCUUGUUUUCUUUCUAUUAUCGGAUAUAUAUGAGUUAUUGUCUGCUUGGCGUAUGGACAACAUUGUGUGAGGUUCCAUGUAGCCUUUAGUGAGACUUGCCAAUCAAACAACCUGUACUAGAUGCGACAAGGUUAGUAGACCUGGAUAUUGCACAAUUGGGCUGGGAUAAGACAUGUUUGGAACAAGAAUGUCACUAGUCAGCUUAGAACAUGGCAAUGGUCCUUACCGGACGAGAGAACUCCAUGACUUAUUAAUUUCAUGGGUGGUUAUGAGUACCUACAUGGUUCUUUCAUUAUUAGCGGUGUCGUGAAGGUUCGAAACGAGAAUUUAUUUGAUAUGUGGUAUAUUAUCAGUACCGAGUUUAUAAUGAGUAACUAUUGUGGUCGGAAGUUAUUGUUGUGAGUACAUGAGUUAUGUGGUGCAUCGUGUGGUUUAAUAUUGGUAGUGUAUUGAUGGCUUGAUGCAACUUGUUGAGAUUGAUACAGUGUAUAUAUAAAUGGAUCAGAUCUUAUAGGGGAUUCCGGAUGUUGGAAUUUGGUUCCACGCCUUAUGGGCUAAUGUAGAAGGAAGAAUCUUCAGUCGGGGUCAUGUUCAUCGACUUAUAUGGACCGAGGUGGAAUGGAAUCACUCAUAGGCAUGUGUAUGAUGAGUUUAUACAGCUAAAUGAUGGCUUUGGAACGACUCAUGGCACUUUUGAGGACGAACAUAUGUUUAAGUGGGGGAGAAUAUAACGACCCGACCGGUCAUUUUGAGUAUUAGCUUCCCUUUAUGUGUUUUGAAACUUUUCAUAGCUCUAUUUUAUGAUUUAUGACUUCCGUACGUGGUCCGCGUCCAUUUUUGAAAAACUUAAAUGUGAAUUUUAUAAAGAAAAUAGCAUUGAAAAUGAUUAGAGUUGACCACGAUCAACAUUUUUGGUAAACGACCUCGGAUCGGUAUUUUGAUGAUUCUGGUAGGUUCGUAUGAUGAUUUUGGACUUGUACGCAUAUUUGGUUGGGGUCCUUGGCGAACCAAGGUCGUUUCGGCGCUUUAUGUGAAAAGUUGGAAAUUUGAGUUUAAACUUCAAAAUCUUGAGUUUUAGUGAUCGAUUUUUGAAUUUAGAUGUUAUUUUGAUGAUUUUAGCUCGGGAAUGAGUUUGUAUGAUGUUAUUACACUUGAGUGAAUAUUUGGAUUGGAGUCCGAGGGGCUCGGGUGAAUUCUGAAUAGGUUGCGGACUGAUUUUGGCUUAACAGGUAACAACUGGUGUUCAUGGAAUGCAGGUCUCGCAUUUGCGAGGACCUGUUCGCAUAUGCAACCUUCUCUUUUGAAAAGUUAGGCUCACAUUUGCGAUAUUGGGUAGGGGCAGGUAUGCUUCGCGAUUGUGAAAUAGUGGUCACUUUUGCGAGUUAGAGGGAAUCGCAUUUGCGAUCUAUACGUCGCAUUUGCUACAGUGGGCUGGGCUGGACAACUUCGCUAAUUGCGAAGCUUUGAUCGCUUUUGCGAUGCAUGGAUGCUUCACAAAUGCGAAGGUUAGAUCCCAUUUGCAACAUCAGAAAGGCUUAGGCAUUGAUCGCAUUUGCGAUCAGUGGUUCACAUUUGCGAACGUCGCAAUUACGAACAAGGCUUCGCAAUUGCAAUACCUGCAGUUGGGUAAAAGUUGGAAAUUCAGGUUUAGCUCAUUUUACACCAUUUUGAGACAUAGACUCCAUGGUGGCAAUUUUUGGAGAAAAAUGUCUUCCCAAUUUCAUAGGUUAGUAACUUUAACUUGUUUUCAUUCAAUUUCCAUUACUAUUUCAUGAAUUUUAUUAUCAAAUCUAAGAUUUAUAGAGUAGAAAUUGGGGUUCUGGGUAGAAACUAGAGAUUUUGUAAAAUUAAGAUUUAGACAUUAGAUUUCAAAAUAAAUUACAUAUUCGGGCUUGGGGAUGAAUGGGUAAUCGAGAUUUGGUCUUAAUUUCGAAUUUCGACCACUUGGCCCGGGCUAACAUUUUGUUGACGUUUUUAAUUAUGUUAAAGAUUGAACUUUUCUUGUACGGAGGUAGUCUCUAAAGCUUAUUUUAACUUGUUUGAACAAUAAUUGACUAGAUUCGGGUGGUUUGGAAGAUUGUUCCAAAGGAAAAGCCGUGUGAAUUGUGGAAUUUAUUCCGAAAUGAGGUAAGUGUCUUGCCUAGCUUUGUUGAGGGAAUUUUUUCUAAUAAAUGAUAUUGUUUGCUAUAUGCGGGGGUUGAUGCAUAUGCAAGGUGACGAGCGUAUAUACAUGUGCAAUGGUUUUCAUGCCCCCCCCCCCGGGGGGGGGGGUAGUACGAUGGUUUACUUNNNNNNNNNNNNNNNNNNNNNNNNNAUAUAUAUAUAUAUCUAUGUGUGAAUGUGUNUGGGGGGGGGAUCAGGUUGCACGCCGCAACAGUACUGGUAUUGAUAUAUGGUUUAGGUUGCACGCUGCAAGGGAAAAGAUGAAUUGUGGUUAUUCUUAGUUGUUAUAUUUCGCCACCAUGUUGUGUUGUAUGGUUGUGAUGUUAUGAUUUUCUAGGGCUCUCUGUCAUUUCCUUUCUUGUUCUGUUUAUUAUGUAGUUAUUCGUUUCUCUAUCUCGUUAGUGCUUCUCUACUUAUCAUCUGUACAUGUAAAAGUAUUAGGUGACUAUCUUUUAACUUAAAAACUUGUCACUAGUUCACCGAGGUUAGUCAAGAUACUUAUUGAGUAUAUGGGAUCGGUUUUACUCAUACUACAUUUAUACACCUUGCGUGCAGAUCUCGAAGGUUGUGGAAGUUGAACCUUGCAUUGAAGAUGUACCAACGUUCCAUAUCAAGCUACCUCUUGUUCAUAGUAGUUUAGGACUUCAUUUCUCCUUAUGUAAACUUCAAACAGAUACUGUAUUUAUUCUUUAUAUCAAUUUGUAAUCUAAAUCAUAGUGGCUUAUGAUCUGUAUUACCAGUCCUUGGGAUGUUGUAUAUAAUUGAGUCAUAUUUACUCCUUGUUAUUAAUGAUCUAUCACUUAAGUUACCUUGUUUUAUGUUUGGCUUACCUAGAACUGGGGUUAGGUGCCAUCGCGACUAGGUGGAUUUCGGGUUGUGACAAGAUAGUAUUAGAGUACUAGGUUUAUAGGUUCUACGAGUCAUGAGCAAGUGCCUAGUAGAAUCUUGCAGAUCGGUAUGAUGACGUCUAUACCUAUCUUUGAGAGGCUACAACGUAUCUAUGAAACAUCCCUUCUUUUUUUCCUUAUCGUGCGACUUGUUUUAGCUUGAUGCCUGUAUACUCUAUUUCUCCUAUUCACUCGUAUGUGAUGUGGCGCACUUCGAAUCAGCUAUAUGUCGACUGCUUGUGAUGCUACAGAUGGACUAUGAGGGCUAUGGAUGCUUGAUCAUCGUCUCGAUGUGUUGUCCUGGCUUAGAUGCCGAUGUGUUAGUAGAUCUUUCUAUUGGUCAUUUAUGGGAUGAAGCGGAUUUUUGUAUUUGGAUGACGAGUGCGGACAGAGGGGGAUUGAUUGCAAAGUUGUUGGGACUGUAGUUGGGCCAUAGAGAGAUGUUGGUCAGAGGCUAAGCAGGUGGGAUAUCUCCUGUGAGAAGAUAUGAAGUUGUAUGAUUCAUAUGGGGAUUCUAUAAAGCGGAAUGCAUAUACUACCGUUUCAGAGCGCUUGAGGAAGUUGGCUUGGAUUUUACAAGGAUGAGUGUGCACUUGGAAGAUGAUUGGAGCAUUUAUGACUAGUGCUACGUGAGCUUAUAGAGGAGAUUCAGCUGGAUGACAACGCAAGCUUCUGGCAAGUUAAUAAAUAAAGGUAUUGUGGGUUAUUAGAUGAUGUGUUAUGUAGCUUCGAGUUAAGUGGAGGAGUUUAUCAUCAAUGAUUAGGUAUAGAUGAAGGGAAGUUCUUGUUUUUUUAGGAGUUCUUAUUAAAUCUAACCAUCUUAAUUUGUUGAAUAUUUGAUUGAGACCAAGUACUCACUUUUAAUAAACACUAGUCUUAGAUUACGCGCGUUGCGCGCUCAAUUACUAUAAACGUUUUAAAAAUUAUAUAAAUAUUAUAUUAUUAUUUUUUAUUUGAGUUAAAAAAUAAAAGUUAAGAGAGUGAAGAAUAUUGAAUUAAAUAAUGAAUAGCAAUUUAAUCAAUUGGCCUCUUAAUAUUAUACAAUAACUGAUCUCUUAUUUUUUGUUUUUUUCACUGCCGAUUCUCUUCUCAAGGGCACAAGUUAUGUACCUGUAUAGGAUAAAAUAUGAUAUGACACGUGGUCAUCUAAAGGGGGGAUACGUGAAACCCAAGAUAGGGAUGGCCGAAGACCGAACGCAGCCAUUCCACUUGUCACCGAAAAGGAUAACGUUCAUAAAGGUGCGUUAAAUGAUCUGCGUCCGAUAGCAUUUAAUAGGGAAUAUUUUGCAGCAUUAAGAGCGACGGUCUGUUACAAAGAAUUCAGCAUUUAUGUUCACCGUUACGUCUUCAUCAAUGAGUCUCAUAAUUGACAUUAAAGGAGGGCACGAUCCUAGGACCUCCUUCCUUAGACAUAGCUAUAAAUAGUGAGCUCAGUUAUCAUUGUAAAGGACACGAAUUUUCUGGCAAAAGUUAUACUAUGUUCUAUACAAAGCUUAAUACAAUCUUACUUUCUUACUUUUUGAUCUCAUCAUUGUUGUGCCCGGAAACCUUGUUCCUGGAACCGUCAUCUCUGUUGUUUCAUCUAUAUUUCAAGGGUAAGUAUUGUACAUUUCUUCAAUUAUUGCAUUAUUUCAGGAUCAAGUUAGUUCACUUGUCUAGAAACCACGUAUAAAUUCAACUGUACCAUUUUACGGAAAAACAGUUUGGCACUCACCGUGGGGCCAAGACAACCGUGCAAUUAAAUUGAUCCUUGCCUUUUUUUACUAACGCGAUUUGAUUAUUUUGUCUUCGAAAAGUUCAUAAGAAAUGGCAGAUAACACUGUUAACGACACGCACAACCCUGAAAUUCGAGGGGAUCAGCCUCAUUUCGAGAACUCAAUCAGUGACACCCGCAAUGAGGAGAAUGACGCCACGCCGGUGCAUGACAGGCAGUACCCUCGACAGGUUCGGGAUAUAACUCCUGAUGAUGUUGAUGAGGAACAUGUCGUGGAUGUGAUGAGGGUCCUGCGAGAACAACAGGCAAUCACUCUAGGCUAUCUCACGCGGCAGAACAAGGUUAUGACGAAACUGAAGCAGGCACUUUUGGGGGCUUCAAAUAAUGCAAACAGAUGAGAUCCAAUUCCUCCCGGUGUUCCCGCAAACCAAACGACGCAGAGAGUUGACAACAACACUCCCAGGGGCGAAGUUGGCUCCGACGGGGCUGGGGGAGCAGAUGCGGUCUAAAAAACGAGAACGACCCAUUCAAUAAUGAACCUUUACGGUUUAUGAGGGAAGUAAACGCUCGCAUGGACCAAAUCCCGGGCGCGCCACCAGUAUUGAAAGGCCCGUACUCAAAGAAGUAUACUCAAUUGCCGUACAAGCCGAGUGCGGCACCAGAACUAAUCCCGAAGCGGUUCAAAAUGCCUGAAAUGCCAAAGUAUGAUGGGACUUCAGAUCCACAUGAGCAUAUUACCACCUACACAACGGCAGUAAAAGGAAAUGAUCUAGCUCCUCACAAAAUUGAACUUGUGCUGCUAAAGAAAUUUGGAGAAACUCUCACAAUGGGAGCCCUAAUGUGGUAUUCAUUAUUACCCAAGCAUUCCAUAGAUUCCUUUGAUAUGCUCGUGGAUUCUUUCAUCAAGGCUCAUGCCGGGGUCAGAAAAGUACAAUCCUGGAAGGCCGACAUAUUCAGGAUGGCGCAAGAAGAAUCCGAAUUAUUACGAGAAUUCGUUACCUGAUUCCAGAAAGAAAGAAUGUUGCUCCCGGUUGUCCCGGAUGAAUGGGCAGCUGAAGCAUUCACCAAAGGAUUGAACCCGAGAAGCUUAGACACUUCCCGGAAGCUGAAAGAGAGCAUGCUUGAGUUCAAGCAACAACUUGGGAAGAUGUCCAUAACCGGUACGAGUCAAAGAUAAGUAUUGAAGAUGACUAGGUCGGUUCCACAUCAUCGGCCAAAGGACGGGAGAAGAGCAGAGAAAAAUCAAAGGAUGACUACUACACGGACAGACGGACUUUGAGGGGCCGAUUUCUACCCUACGAGCGGACCGAAGGCCGUGGCAGAAACUUCUGGGCAGCGAACAAGUUCAUCGCUGAUAGAGCGAUCAUGAUCGAAACAAUAGGUCACUCUAGGAUAAGGAGACGUCGGAGUCUCGGGAUCCUUCUUACCCCAAGUUAUCGGAAUAUAACUUUAAUGUCAGUAUAGUGGAGUUGGUGUCAGCCAUGAGAAACAUCAAAGAAGCACGAUUACCGAGACCUAUGAGAUCCAAUUCCAGCCAUAGAGAUCCCAACUUAUGGUGCGAGUACCAUGGGACGAACGGACACCGGACAGGGGACUGCCGACACCUCUGAGAGGAGGUGGCAACAUUAUUGAAGAAUGGUCACCUCAGAGAAUUCUUGAGUGACCGAGCUAAGAACAAUUAUGGUCGUAACAGAGACAACGCAGAACUUCCAAAAGCAGGAGAAGAACCCCCACGCCAAAUGAUCAAUAUGAUCUUCGGGGGGGAAUGAGAUUAACGGGGUCACCUUUCGGCAGCGAAGAAAACGAAAGUAUCAAUAACCCAUAAUAAAAGGCUCCGGGAAGAUGAUAUCACUUUCACGGAGGAGGACGCAGACGGAUUACUGUUACCACAUAACGAAACACUGGUAAUUUCUUUAAAUGUGUUAGAAUUUAAUAUUAAACGUGUUUUAGUGGAUCCAAGAAGUUUGGCUAAUAUCAUACAAUGGAGAGAUUGGAGCAAACUAAACUCACCGGAAGCAUUAUUCCAGCAACAAAGCUCCUCGUUGGAUUCAACCUUGCAAGUGUGACAACCCGGGGAGAGAUUUUACUGCUCACAAAUGCUAAAGGAGUAAUGAAAACAACUCUCUUAUAAGUAGUAGAUGGUGACAUGGGAUACAACAUUAUCCUCGGAAGGCCAUGGUUAUAUGAGAUGAAAGUUGUACCAUCAACAUAUCACCAAUUGCUGAAGUUUCCAACGCCCGAAGGAAUCAAGCAGAUAAGAGGUGAUCAGCCGUCAGCAAGGAAGAUGAAUGCAAUCUCAGUUUCCAUUAGCAAAGGGAAGGAACACAUGGCAUAGCAAUUACAGGAAUCGGCACCUAUUCCCGAACUAUAAGGAGUUAGCCCAAAAAUAGAGUUAUCAGAACAAUAUCAGGUAACAAGAUAUUUCCAAGUUCCAGAAGAAAGGGACACAACGAAAUCCACGGCGGAGGAACUGGAGCAAGUUGCAUUGUUCGAGGAAUUCCUAGAAAGAAAAUUCCAUUUGGGGACAAGACUGCACCCGGAGCUCAGGUUUGAUUUUAUUGAAUUCCUUAAAUUUAAUGCUGAUUAUUUUACGUGGUCACACGAGGAUAUGACAAGUAUCCCAACAGAAAUAGCCGUGCACAAGCUGAGUUUGGAUCCCAACAUACCUCCGGUAAGGCAAAAGAAAUGUCGUAUUGUCGAGGCCAGGAAUAAAUUUGUCAAAGAAGAGGUAACCCGCUUGCUUAAAAUCAGUUCGGUCUGAGAGGUAAGAUAUCCGUACUAGCUAUCCAAUGUAGUAGUAGUUCCUAAGAAGAACAAUAAAUUUUGCAUGUGUGUAGACUAUAAAAAACUUAAUAAGGCAUGCCCAAAAAACUCGUUUCCACUGCUAAAUAUCGAUCAAAUGAAUGAUGCCACGGCCGGGCACGAGUUGAUGAGUUUCUUUGAUGCUUAUUCUGGGUACAACCAAAUCAAGAUGAACCCGGAAGAUCAGGAAAAAACUUCGUUCAUAACGAAUUCUGGUACAUAUUGUUACAAUGUAAUGCCCUUCGUGUUGAAAAACGCUGGAGCCACUUAUCACGACUCGUAAAUAAGAUGUUCGAAAAGCAAAUAGGAAAGACUAUGGAAGUUUAUAUAGACGAUAUGCUCAUUAAGUCUUUGAAUGCAGGUGACCAUAUUAAACAUUUGCAAGAAACAUUCAACAUCCUGAGGAAGCAUAACAUGAAACUUAAUCCCAAGAAGUGCGCGUUCGGGGUCAGUUCUGGUAAGUUUCUGGGAUUUCUGGUCUCACAAAGGGGAAUUGAGGUAAACCCCGACAAAAUCAAGGCCAUAGAAGAUAUCCCGGAUCAAUUGUCGAAUGUAAAAGAAGUCCAAAGGCUCACAGGAAGAUUAGCAGCUUUGAGCAGGUUCAUUUUUCGGUCAUCAGAAAAAUGUCAUCGCUUCUUCACACUGCUCAAAAAUAAGAAUAAUUUCGAAUGGAAGCAGGUUCUGAGGGAUCUGACAAAGUACUUAUCGAGCCCUCCAUUGCUCUCAAAACCAAAAGAAGGUGAAACAUUGCUAGUCUGCCUCGCGGUUUCAGAAGUUGCAGUAAGUGCGGUUUUAGUCCGAGAGGACGAAGGUACGCAAUCUCCCAUUUAUUACUGUAAGUCCCCGAAAUAUUUCACCCAAAACCCGGGGUUUCGUACAAGGCGUUUCUGCGGUCGUAAAACUGAUCCGCGGACCGCAGAUCUACCACAGACUAAAGCAAAAAUCUGGGCAAAUUUUUGGACCAUUAUGCGGUCCAGUAUGCGGCCGCAUAAUCAUUUCGUGGGCCGCACAACCCAUCGCAGAUCCAGCAUGAAACUUUCCGGAGGGGAGUUCUGUGGCGUAUUAUACGACCGUAGAAUUGGUCUGCAGACCGCAGACUGGUCGCAGAGUGAGGCAGAAGUGCCUAGUUCCAGAAGGCCAUUAUGCGGACCGCAUAUGCAACCGCAAAUCUAUGUCGGGGCUUCAUUUUUCUAAUUUUUUUUUACCCGACCCUAUUUUGAUUAAAAGCCCUUGGGGCUCAUUUUGAAGGCAAAAACCUGUCAUUUUAGAGAGAAGAGGGGAGUGUUCUUGUUACAUCUCGCAUUUUUCGUGUGUUAAAGUUUCGUCUUCAGUUAAUUAACGUAGAGUCGGGGAUGAGAUUUUCUUGAGAUUAUAAGCAUUAUGCUAUUUCAAACACAGGAUGAGUAAAUUCGUGAAGGAGAGAAGGUAAGCAAAUAGAAGAAAAUGAGUUUCGUUGAAGGUUGUCGAUUUGGGAUAAAAUACGGGCUGAGCGAUAAUAACCGAUAUUUAUGGACUAGUACCAUGCAAGGUACCAUAUGACCGUGAUAGUAUGAUGUAUAAAGUGUAUUGAAAAUAAGUAGAAUUUUAAGUAAUUUGAGACAAUUCUUAAUUAUGCGGGUAAUUGAUUAAUUACCGGGUAGCGGGAUAUUACCUAAUUAAUAAAUAAAUCAUGAGAUAAGACAACCCCCCCAAAAUGUGGCAGCUAGCCACAUUCUAAAUAAAUGACUAAGAGUCAUUUCUUGCUAUGUGGCAUAAUGUUACACAUUCCAUUCACUCCAUUCUAAUAUUCUCCAUAUUCACUAAAGAAUAUACCGUGAGAAUAUUAAUCAUUCUUACGGCAAAACUUCUUUCAACCAAAAAUCCAACGUUAGCCAUUUUACAACCAGAACGUCUUACAACAAAAACUUACAACCAAAACGUUAGCAAGCUUCCAAUAAAAUGUCUUUCAACCAAAAUCCAACGAGAAUUAUUGGAAGCUUAACAACGUACAAAUUUUGCGGUUCUAAAGGAGUACGGUGAAACCUUUUCCAAGAAUAUCAUAUGAAUUUUUCCCUACUCCAGGUAUGUUAAGGCUAAGCCCUUCUUUCAUUUUGGCAUGAUCUCGUAAUUACACGAGUUUGAUAACGAAGCAUAAAGAAAAAUUCAUAUCCCGAAAUUUACGUAUAUUUUUCUAGUUUUGUAAGUUACAAUAUUCUAUUUAUCGGGACUUCAUAUUCAUUUGAGUAUUUCCUUUUCCAGCCAAGAGAACAGAGAGUCUAUAUAUAUAAUAUUACAGUAAUUUCAUUACCAUCGAGCUAUAAUCGAUGGGCAGGCCACUAUUGGGUAACCUCUGAUCAGAUGGUAAGUUAUAUACCGAGCCUACUGUGGCCGAGCGCCUAUGAGCGAGCCCAGUUGGCCGAGAUACAGAGCCUAGUAUGGCCGAGAGCCUAUAAGCGAGCCUACUACGGUAGAUCAAUUAUAUAUAUACCGAACCUUAUAGGGCCGGACAUCUAUUUUACUUACUAUAUUGAAAGAGUUGAGUCAGUAUCAGCAAGUAAGCAUAUAUUCAGAUUAUCAGUUUAGUUUCAGCUUUCUGUACAUUUCCUUACAUACUCGGUACAUUAUUUCGUAUUGAUGUCCCUUUCUGGGGGCGCUGCAUUUCAUGCGUGCAGGUUCAGACAGACAGACGGGUAGACCUCCUCAGUAGGGGUUGCCCGAGUUUAGCUUUAUCGGUAAGCUCCCUGUCCUUCUGAGUUACCGGGUCUAGAAGUUUUGUGUACAUCUUGUGUAUAUAUGUAGAUAGGUUAUGGGUAGGUCGGGGCCCUGUUCCGAUCACAGUACAUCUAUCAGUAGAGGCUUGUAGACAUAUCCUAUCAGUUAGUGCAGUAUGUUGGGCUUAUAGGCCCUGUACAUAUAUUUUAUUGGCUUGUCAGUUGUAGUAAUUAUGACUGCCUUGCCGGCCCAGCUUUAUGUUGAUAUUUAGUCAGCGUUACUCUCUAUUCAGUUUUAUAUUUUGCAUUGCACAUUAUCUUGUAAUGUGUCCCAUGUCCAAAGUAUGACAUUAAAUGUUCAGAGUCUCUUAGUCGCAAGUGGUACGCAAGGAUAGGUGGGGUCCCAGGCUCGGGGCGUGACAAAAAUAGUAUCAGAGCAGUUCUGUCCUAGGGAGUUUACAAGCCGUAUCUCGUAGAGUCCUUUUUAUGGGUGUGUUGUGCACCACACUUAUAAACAGGAGACUACCGGAUAUUUAAGAUGGUUACUUUUCUUUCUAAUCCAGAUUGUGCGAUAGAACUGAGUCAUAAGUACCCAUUCCUAAUCUUUACCUUAUUUAUGUUUUAGUGAUGCCUAUUACUACUAGACGACAGGCGCGAGCCGCUAGCAUGGGUCAGAAGGCUACGGAAGUAUUAGAAGGAGAUAUAAGUUACACUAUGGAGUCAGACUCAUCGGAGAUCAUGGGUUCUAUUGAGGAGGAUCCAUCCGAGGAUCCAUAUGAGUCAUCUGUUCGAGCUGUUUCAAUCACUCCGGCAACAGAUGGGGUGAGAGGAGUUCUGACCUCACCAAGUCCCUUAGUUUCAUUAUCACAGCCCGUUGAUCAGGGUAUGAGGGGAGUGGUGCACCGAUUGUCACAACAGGGUUCCCCUCAGGCUCAAAACUAUGUCAGGGUAUUUGCGGACACCAGCUCUUCUGAGAUUCCAGAUAGUCCACAGUCNNNNNNNNNNNNNNNNNNNNNNNNNNNNNNNNNNNNNNNNNNNNNNNNNNNNNNNNNNNNNNNNNNNNNNNNNNNNNNNNNNNNNNNNNNNNNNNNNNNNNNNNNNNNNNNNNNNNNNNNNNNNNNNNNNNNNNNNNNNNNNNNNNNNNNNNNNNNNNNNNNNNNNNNNNNNNNNNNNNNNNNNNNNNNNNNNNNNNNNNNNNNNNNNNNNNNNNNNNNNNNNNNNNNNNNAAUGGGAUAUGCAGAGGAAGAGGAUAGUAGUCGGGCCAAGAGGAGGAAGGUAACUGAUAAGGAUAUGGAGAUUCCGCUUCGAAGUGUGUCUGAUCGAGGCUCUCACAUAGGACGAGGCAAGGACCCUCUACUGUAGACUUCCUCCUUUAAGAUUCAGAUACUUAUCAAGUAAAUUAAGGGUGUGUUUGGUAUGAAGAAAAAUGUUUUCCUCGAAAAUAUUUUCAUGAAAAAUGAGUGGUUUUAUCACUUAUAUUUUCUUGUUUGGUUGGUGAGUGAAACCUUUUUUCGGAAAAUAUUUUCUAGUGUUUGGUUAGAGUAGAAAAUAUUUUUUAGAAAAAUAAUAUUUUAUGCUACUCUCCUAAUCCCAUUUCCCCAAGUCCCUAUGUUUCCUGUGCUCCCCCCCUCCCAAAUACCCAACAUUUUCAUGAUUCUAUUUUUUCUUCAACAAUUUAAUAAUUCUUCUAAAAAUUCAUACAAACUCAAAUAAGCUAAUGUGUUGCUUUACUUUUUCACGCAAAAAAACGUUAAAAUUUAUACUCCAUAACUAAAAUAAAUACUCUUUUGUUUUUGUUGAAAAAGAAAGUACUAUUUCUACAACAUGAAAAUAAAGUAUUCAUUUUGUUAAAAUAAAAGAAAAUACUUUUUCUACAUCAUGAAAAGGAAAUACUCAUUUUGCUGAAAUGAAAGAAAAUAUUUUUUCUACAUCAUGAAAAGAAAAUAUUAUUUUUGUUGAAAUAAAAGAAAAUACUUUUUACUACAUCAUUUUGUUGAAAUAAAAGAAAAUAUCUUUUUUACAUCAUGAAAAGAAAGUAUUUUUUUGUUAAAAAAAAAAAACCUUUUUUAUAUCGUGAAAAGAAAAUACUCAUUUGUUGAAAUGAAAAAAAAAAUACUCUAUCUAUAACAUGAAAGAAAGCACUAUUAAUAAUAUUUCUAUUUAGGGUGGGGAUGGAUAGGUAGGGGUGUGGGGGUGGGUUGGUGGGGUUGGGGAAUGGGGGGAAGGUUGGAAAAGAGUUUUUGAAAAUAUUUUUUCUUCUUCUGAUAGGCAAAAUAUUUUUUUCCAAUUGGAGGAAAAUGAGUUCAUGAGGAAAAUAUUUUUCAAAACAUUUAAGCCAACCAAACAUAGGAAAAUUGGAAAAUAUUUUCCGAAAAAUAUUUUCUUUCAUACCAAACACACCCUAAAUAAAUAACAAUUUAAUUCAUUGAUUAUUUCCUGUAGACUUUCGCUUAACUUAUUUCAUGUGACAGAUAUAAAAUCCAGCUGCACGGUUUAGACAUGAAAACUUAUAAGAUUUAACAAAGGUGUAUCAUCAAUCUCCGGACCGAAACAUGAAUUCCAUCCACUAACUAUUAUUUUUCUAGUAUUUAUUAUUAUUAUUAUUAUCCAAUGUAUCGUGCAUAUUGACCCAUAGAAUAGUCUUGCCUUUUAAUAAAUUCAAAUAAUAAACAAUACACACAUUUAAUAAUAAUUAUAUUAAAAUUAAGAGUAUAAGUAUAUCAAAUGAACUAGAAAAUUUAUUUUAUUAAGUCAAUAUAAAAUACUUACUUUUACUUGGUCCAUUCAAUACAUACAAAAAGUACUUGCAUAAGAAGUCGAAAUUAUACCAUUCCCAUAAUCAUGAUAAACUAUAUUUAAUCUUGUGCUAUAAUCAUUUCGAUAGCUUAUCCAAUUCCAUCAUUAGAUUGUGAACAUAAUCAUUCUUGUAUAUGACAAACUCUAUACACUAAAUCAUCUACUAAUGUAAAGGACACACAUGAAUACAUCAACUUUUUAAAUAUUUAUAAAAAUUAAAUAAAUAAUUAUAUUAUAAUAAAUGCAAUAUCUAAACACAUGGUUUAUAGUUGUAUAUCCCAAUAAUCUCCUACUUAGACUUUUAACCAUGUCAAUUAUUAGAAUAUAUUAUAUCUAAAUGCAUAAUUAAUAGUACAUACCAGUCAACCCCAAAUCCUACCAAAGCCGUGACGGUACUUAACACUACUUGCUAGGCAAGCUAACACUAAAAUAAUAGCAAUAAACUCAAAUAACAUGAUUAGAUAGUCUGAAUAGCUGAAUAAACAUAAAUGGCAGAAGUCAAUAACAUUCAUACAACUAAAUCAUUCGACGAUCUGGUGUUACUAAGUACAUGAGCGCUACAAAAUUUGUAAAUACAUAGUGUGAAAUACAUAAUUGUCUAAAAGAUAGAAAAGUAAUAGCAUAAACAAAGGGGGGAAGGGACAUCAAAGAACGCGAAGAGAAUCAACAACUACCUCGAAAUCUCCAAGAAACCUGGUACUGGUACAACCAACUAACAACACAUCAAAUAAAAACAUCAAGUACCAAUAAACAAGAGACAAGGGAUACAUCCUGGUACCUGAUAACACGUAUGUAUGCUAGAAUCAACAAUAUCGCAGAUAAAUCAACAAGAAUGUCAUAUCCGAACACAUGUAUAGUGCUUGGCACAAUUUCCCCCAGACCCUAACACUUAACAACAAUAACACUCAGCAUUGUACAGGUGUCUGACACAAGUCCCUCACCCAAGCACCUAUGUGACCCAAUGCCUGCACCCACGGUUAUUACCUAACUCCGGAAGGGCAGGUCCAUGCCCAAGUGCUGAUCGGAUCUAAGUUUGUCACAACCCAAAAAUCAACCAGUCGUGAUAACGCAUAUCAUACUUGAUAGGCAAGCCGUACAUAACAAUAAAGAACCAAAAUAGUGGAAUUUACAGAAAUAACACAAGUCUGGAACCUCAAUAUAACAUAAUAAUGCUAAUACAUGAUAAAUCCCCCAGAACUGGUAAAUACAAAGUCACGAGCUCUAAUAUGGAAAUACAUAUCCUAAAUGACCAAAUACAAUACUGUAUGUAAUAAAGACAACAGUAUAUAAGAAAAGAGACGUCAAGACUGCGGUCGAGAGUGCAGUUCUACCUCGUCCCUAAAUGAUCAGCUCAACUACAAGCCUCUGCUACUGAUGACUGGGUCCGACACCUGGAUCUGCAUAAUUAAGUGCAGAGUGUAGCAUGAGUACAACCGACCCAAUAUACUCCACAAGUAUUAAAACUAACCUCGGCGAGGUAAAGGAAGUAGGAACUAUAAAUGAUACGUGUUAUAACCUGUACAGUUUCAUAAACUGAACAAGAACGAAACAAUAAUGUGAUCAAGCCAUAUAGAACAUAAAUCAACCAUCUAUGUGUGCAAAAUUACUCAAGUCCUCUGCUUAGUCAAUGUUACAGCAUAUAAAGAUGAUAUGCAAUUAAUUCAAGUAAUUAACCACUGGCCAAAAAAACCAAAAAAAACACUGGCCAGAUUCCCCUCAAUAUUUUCCAUAUCCGUAUCAAACCACUGAUCAGUUUUCACAGAUCCGCAUGUACACCAUCAAGAGAGAAACAUGAGAGGGUGACCCUAGGGGGAUGGAUCCAUAUCCACACACCUGCAUGGCCAAUUCAAUGCGCUUCCAACGUAGUCACAUGCUCAAAAUCAAAAUCCGCACGGCGUAGUCACAAGCAUUACAGUACAAUCCACCCGGCGUGGUCACAGGCAUAACAAUACAAUCCGCCCGGCGUGGUUACAAGCAUAACAACAUGAUCCGCCCGGCGUGGUCACAUACAUAACAACACAGUUCGCCCGGCGUGGUCACAAUCAUCCAGUCCAAACCAUAUCAAACGUAAGCAAAUAUACAAGAAUACAUGUAUGUGAUAAAUGAAUAACAAAUUUCAUGCUCCUGGACUGGUAUCAAUGACAUGCUAAAGUGUAGGCAUGUGUACAGUGUGCUAUCUUAGCCCAAAUAUGAAAUUUCAACACAGAAAUAGCAGUUAUCAAGUUCAUUCAGGGAUUUAGCCUCUAUAUAACCUCAAACGUGGAUCAAAUAGUUCACAACAAGCUUAUCAUAUGAGAAAACUUAUAGCUUAAAGCUUAACGGUGAAUUCUAGGCAUAUUAUAGCCUAAGAUACCUCGAGCAUGGAUAAGUACCCCAAUGCUCGCACAUGGGUUGACACCCCACACAUGUGCUCACCCAUAUCACAAAUAUCUCAGGCAACUAGUGACACAACCAAGUUUAGGUAACAUACUUACCUCAAGCAUGCCAAAUCACUCCUCUAACAAGCCCUUCCUGCUCAACCUAUGGACGAUCCGAAUCUAGUCAAAAUAACAUAAUACUAUCAAGAAAAUCCAUAGGAAGUAAUUACAAAUGAUAAAGCUAAGAUCUUUAACUCAAGUCAAAAAGUCAACCCAAAACGUCAACCACGAGUCCAACCAUACUAAUUUCUUCCAUUUCCAUCCACAAAUCGACCCACAAAUCACCAAAUCUCACUCUCCAACCACCUGGUCUAAAAUCCCCAAAUUUCACUUCAAAUUCACAUUAACUAGGUUUUAAAAUCAAACGUUAAUUAAUAUCUAACAUCAAAAGUGAUUGAACUUCACUUACCUCUUCAAUUGUAACAAAACCCUCUCAAAAAUCGCCCUUAGUCGAGUUCCAAAUCUCUCAAAAUGAGAAAACACUCAAACCCUUCGAAUAUAAGAACCUGCUAGUGAACUCGCACCAGCGCUCCAAAUUUUCACUUCCGCGGGACUGCUUCUACGGUCUAAAUCACGCAUCUGUGCACUUCAAUUAAGUUCCGACAAACCACUUAUGUUGUCCAAGUCCCGCUUCUGCGCAUCAGCACCCGCGAAACAUUUCUGCAUCUGAGGUCCUAGCUCUGCACGCCUUUCUCCGCUUCCGCAUCCCCCUAUCUGCAUCUGCGGCCUCGUAGAUGCGGUCGAUCCUUCACACAUGUGACCUUCACUAGCCCCAGUUAAACCGGCACCUGCGAUCACUUGGCCACUUCUGCGGCGUCGCGCUUGCGGAAAAUUGCACCUAAAUACCUAGGCUUCAGCAAUCCUUCAUGUCCCAAAGUGAUCCGCCAACUAUCUGAAUCUCACUUGAGGCCCCUGAGAUCUUGUCAAAACAUGCCAACAAGUCCUAAAUCAUAAUACCAACUUACUCGAAGCCUUACAUCACAUCAAACAACAUCAAAAUCACGAAUCACACCCCGAUUCAAGCCUAAUAAAACUAACGAACUUCUAAAACUAAUGCCAAAUCAUAUCAAACCAACUUCGAAUGAACUCAAAUUUUGCACACUAGUCCCAAAUGACACAACGGACCUAUUCUAACUUUCGAAACAAAAAUUUAAACACGAUAUCAACAAAGUCAACUCUCAGUCAAACCUCUCAACCUUCCAAACCUUCAACUUUUGCCAAAAAAUAUCAAAUCAACCCACGAACCUCCAAAUCAACAUCCAGGCAUACGCCUAAGUCCCAAAUCACCAUACGAAGCUAUCAGGACCAUCAAAACUCUAUUCCGGAGUCAUCUACACAAAUUCAAACUCCGGUCAACUCUUUCAACCUAAGCCUUCAACUUUGGGACUAAGUGUCUCAAUUCACUUUAAAACAUCUAUGAAGCCAAACCAACCACCCUGGCAGUACACAUAACCAAAAAUGAACAUAGAAGAGGCAAUAAAUAGGGGAACGGUGCUACAAUACACUAAAUGACAGGCCGGGUCAUUAUAUUCUCCCCCUCUUAAACAAACAUUCGUCCUCGAAUGGGUCUAGAAUUGUACCUGGAGUCUCAAAUAAGUGUGGAUAUCUACUCCACAUCUCCCGAUCUUCCUCCCAAGUAGCCUCCUCGAGCGGCUGACCUCUCCAAUGAAGUUUCACUUAUGCUAUACUCAUUACCUCAACUUCCGAACCUGCCGGUCCAAAAUGGCCACCGGCUCCACAUUAUAAGUCAAAACCCCGUCCAGCUAUACUGUGCUGAAGUCCAAAAUAUGCGAUGGAUCACCAUAAUACUUCCAGAGCAUAGAAACAUGAAACGCUGGAUGAACACCUGAUAGAUUAGGUGGCAAUGCAAGUCUGUAGGCCACCUCCCCAACUCUCUCAAGUACCUCAAAGGGACCAAUAUACUGAGGUCUCAACUUGCCCUUCAUCCCGAACCUCAUCACACCUUUCAUGGGGGAAACACUGAGUAAAAACUUCUCACCCACCUUAUAUGCAACAUCAUGAACCUUCCUAUUAACAUAACUUUUGUGUCUGGACUAUGCUGUGCGGAGCCGCUCCUGCAUCGACUUCACUUUCUCCAAGGCAUGACGGACUAAAUCAGUGCCCUACAAACUUGCCUCUCAAGGCUCAAAUAAACCAAUUGGAGAUCGGCAUCUCCUCCCAUAUAAGGCCUCAUAUAGAGCAAUCUGGAUACUCGACUGAAAGCUGUUAUUGUAGGCAAACUCUACUAAUGGAUGAAACUGAUCCCAUGAACCUCCGAAAUCCAUAACACUGACACGUAACAUGUGCUCCAAGAUCUAAAUAGUACGCUCGGACUGCUCAUCCAUAUGAGGGUGGAAUGAUGUACUCAACUCAACCCGUGUGCCCAACUCGUGCUGCACUGCUCUCCAACUCGAUCCGAGAUAAUAGACACAGGCACACCAUGAAUGAGAACAAUCUCAUGAAUGUAAAUGUGAGCUAACAAUUCAGAAGAAUAGGUAGUCAUCACCGAGAUGAAGUGUGUGGACUUAGUCAACUAGUCCACAAUAACCCAAAUUGCAUCGUAUUUCUUUAAGGUCCGUAGUAAGCCUACCAUAAAAUCCAUAGUGAUGCGCUCUCACUUCCACUCUGGUAUCUCCAAUAUAUGAAUCAACCCUCCCCGUUUCUGAUGUUCAUACUUCACAUGUUGACAAUUCAAACACCGAGAGACAUAAGCAACAAUAUCUUUCUUCAUUCUCCACCACCAAUAGUGUUGUUUCAAGUCACGGUACACCUUUAUGAAACUUGGGUGAAUGGAAUAGCGCAAACUGUGAGCCUCCUCAAGUGUCAAAUAUCUCAACCCAUCCACAUUUGGAACACAAAUUCGGCCUUGAUGCCGCAUAACACCAUCAUCACCAAUCACAACCUCCUUGGCACCACCCGGUGCACCGUGUCCUUUGACACCAACAAGUGAGGAUCAUCAAACAGGCAAUCCUUGAUACGCUACAACAACAAUGACUGUGCAACCACGCAAGCAAGAACACGCCUGGGCUCUAAAACAUCCAAUCUCACAAACUGAUUGGCCAAGGCCUAAACAUCCAUAGCUAGUGGCCUCUCUGCUACCGAUAAAUAUGCCAAGCUGCCCAUACUCUCAGCUUUCCUACUCAAUGCAUCUGCCACCUCAUUGACCUUCCUCGGAUGAUGUAAUAUGGUGAUAUCAUAGUCUUUUAGCAACUCUAACCAUCUCCGAUGCUACAAAUUAAGGUCUCUCUGCUUUAAUAGAUGCUGGAGACUCUGAUGGUCAGUAUAGACCUCACAAUGAACAUUAUACACAUAGUGCCUCCAAAUAUUCAAUGUGUGAACACUAGCUGCCAAAUCUAAAUAAUGCAUAGGUUAAUUCUUCUCAUGAACCUUCAAUUUUCGAGACGCGUAGGCAAUCAUCCUACUAUCCUGCAUCAACACCGCACCAAGCCCAUUACGUGACACAUCAUAAUACAAAGUGUAAUAUCCUGAACCUGUAGGCAACAACAACACUGGGGAUGUAGUCAAUGCAGUCUUGAGCUUUUGAAAGCUCUCCUCACACUCAUCAAACCACCUGAAUGGGGCACCCUUCUAUGUCAAUCUAGUCAAAGGUGCAGCAAUGUAUGAGAAACCCUCUACAAAACAGCGAUAAUAACCUGUCAAACCCAAGAAGCUUCGAAUCUCUGUAGGUGAAGAUGGUCUAGGCCAACUCUGAACUACCUCAAUCUUUUUCGGAUCCACCUUGAUUCCUUCACUCGAUACCACGUGGUCCACAAACGCCACCGAAUCAAGACAAAACUCACAGUUGGAGAAUUUGGCAUAUAUCUUUAUCUCCCUUAUGGUCUAGAGUACGAUCCUUAAAUGUUGCUCACGACCUCCUGACUGCGUGAGUACACCAAUAUAGCAUCAAUGAAUACUGUGACUAAAGAACCAAGAUAUGGCUGGAACACACUGUUCAUCAAGUGCAUAAAGGCUACUGGGGCAUUGGUCAGCCCAAAACACAUCACCAAAAAUUGGUAAUGACCACAACGGGUCAUGAAUGCCGUCUUCAGAAUAUUUGAAUCCUGAAUCUUCAAUUAAUGAUACCCAGACCUCAAAUCAAACUCCGAGAACACUCUAGCACCCUAGAGCUGAUCAAAUAAGUCAUCAAUAUGCGAUAGUGGGUAGUUGUUCUUAAUUGUAAAUUUGUUCAGAUAUCGGUAGUCAAUACACAUCCUCAUAAUAUCAUCCUUUUUCUUACACAAAUAGAAUCAGUGCACUCCAAGGCGACACAUUAGGCCUAAUUAAGCCCUUAUCAAGUAACUCAUAAGUAUGUUCCUUUAACUCCUUCAAUUCCUCCGGUGCCAUGUAAUACGGUGGAAUAGAAAUGGGCUGAGUGCCCGGCACCAGAUCAAUACCAAAAUCAAUGUCCCUAUUGGGUGGCAUGCCCAGCAUAUCUGCAGGAAACAUAUUUGGGAAGUCUCUCACUACCGGAACUGACUCAACGGUAGUAGAGUCAGUACUAAAAUCCCUCACAAAGGCCAAAUAUGCCAGACAUCCAUUCUCAACCAUCUGUUGAGCCUUCAAAUGAGAAAUCACUCUACUAAGGACAUAAUCCAGGGAACCUCUCCACUCAACCCUAGGAUUCCUCGUCAUCGCCAAUGUCAUGACCUUAGCGUGAUAAUCUAGAAUAGCAUGACAUGGUGACAACCAAUCCAUGCCAAAAAUCACGUCAAAAUCAACCAUGCUAAGUAGUAAAAGAUCCACUCUCGUCUCUAAUCCCACAAUAGUCAGCUCACACGACCGAUACAUACGGUCCACAACAAUAGAAUCACCCACCGGUGUAGAUACAUGAGCAUACAUAACUAGAGAAUCACAGGGCAUAUCCAAACAAUGAGUAUAGUAUGAUGACACGUAUGAAUAAGUGGAACCAGGAUCAAACAAUACCAAAGCAUCCCUAUGAUCAUGGCAUCAGAAGCAACCGCCUCUGGCCUGACUGGAAAUGUGUAGCAACGGGCCUGACCACCACAUGAUCUACCUCCCCCUCUAUGGUGACCUCGAGUUGACCGGGCCCCACCCCAAGCUGCCUGUGCUAGUGGGCUAGCUGUUGGUGGUGACAUCAUAGACUAGGAGCUUUGUUGUAGGACUCUAGUCAACAGUCUUGGGCAAUCAUUUUCGAGAUGACUCAAGUCUCCUCACUCACAACAACCCCUCCUGUAAGGCUGCUGACCUUGAUAGCCUGAAGAACUGGCUGUGGAAAAAGGUAGAUUAAGCAUGGUAAAAACUCUGUGCCGGCAGCGCACUGAAUGAUGACUGAGUUGGGCAUGCACUGUAGGAACUGUGUCCAACUGAAGAGCCACGAGGAACAUCAUGAGUUGUCUGAACGGGUCAAGAAAGAUGACCUAUGAUGUAAUGGGACUGGCCUCCAGAUGAGGCACUACUGAAACCACCUGAACUACGAGGCCUCUUGGCCUUCCGCUCGUCACGCUCCAUCCUGUGAACUUGCUCUAAGAGUUUAUAAAUCUUGACAACCUGGUCAAACCUAGCAUUCGUCGCAACCUCUCGGGCCAUACAGAAACGUAAACCAUAGUUGAGGCCAUCAAUGAACUUCCUAAUCUUAUUCAUCUCAGUGGGAACCAACCAUACUGCAUGACGAUCCAAAUCUGCGAGCCGCAUCUCAUACUGAGUCACUUUCAUACUCUCCUAGUGUAGCUUCUCAAAUUGCCUACGCAACUCCUCUUUGCGAGUCUGGGAACAAUCUUCUCUAAGAAGAGAGCUGAGAACUCAUGCCAUAUAAGUGGCGUUGCGUCAGCUGGAUGGCUCAGCUCCUAAGUUUACCAUCAUCUGUAAGCUGCCCCUGUCAAUUGAAAAGUAGUAAAUGCAACCCCACUAGCAUCCAAAAUACCUGUUGUGCGAAGAAUCCGCUGACACAAGUCUAGAAACUCCAAGGGAUCCUCUGACUCUGCUUCGCUGAUCUCUGGAGGCUUAAGACUCCCAAACAACUCCAACCUCUUCUGCUCCUCAUCACUCAUGGGUGAACCAACCUCGGCCUGAGCAGUAGCAACCGACUGAACUGGCAAUACACCCGGUGUCUGGUGACCCUGAACUAGCUGCUCUGGGGUACGAGUGAAAGGAGUCUGGGCACCUCCCCCAGCAUGUGAGGUAGCUGGUGUGGACGAAUAAGUUUCACCUUUCUUUUAAAAAUUAAUUUAUUUACACUUAUUAAAUUCCAAUAAAUAUGUUAAAUAUAUUUUCUAAUUAAUAAUACCUAUUUUUAAGUAAUUAAGGGUGGUGUGGACGAAUAAGUUUCACCUUUCUUUUAGAAAUUAAUUUAUUUACACUUAUUAAAUUCCAAUAAAUAUGUUAAAUAUAUUUUCUAAUUAAUAAUACCUAUUUUUAAGUAAUUAAGGGUGUUAAUUAGUAAUUUGGUCAUUGUAUAAUUAUAAAAUAUUACCUCUACUAUUUUUCCAUUAUUUAAAUUAUUAAAAUAUAUUUUCAUAUUCAUUACAUAGGUUAGUAAUUAAUUUAAUAAGGUCGUUCCUUAAUUUUGGCAAAAUACCCUACUAUUUCUAAAUAAAUCCGAAAUUAAUGUCACAAGUAGAAAAUAGGAUAUUUAAAAAUUAUUUAGUUUAUUUAUUGGAAUUAGUAGUGUAUUUGAUGAUUUUAAUUUCUAUUAUAUUUUAUUAAAAUUAUUUAAGUUUAAUUAAAUUAAUUUGUAAGAGGUUAAAUAUCAAUUGGCUACGCUUGCAAUUAUGUAAUUUAAUACAAAGUUGCUACUUUUCAAAUAAAAAACAACCCUAAAUACCGUGCCUUAUUACCCCAUCUGAACCAGUCUAAACGACCCUCUAAUCCACAGUGGCGAUCCGCAUCUCUUUCCCUAAGCCAAUCAGAGCUUGCCACAUCGCACGUCCCAUUCCCUCACUAAACGGACCAGAUUUAAUCCCGUUGGUAGUUAUUUUUUAAAGACCUGUCAUGUUUUAUCUCCGCCGUUGGACCACAAGACUCCAACGACCAUCGCUUUUUCUCCAUAAAAUUAUUUUAAAACUCCUAACUCUCAAAAUAAUGGGAGCCAUUGAUCAAAUGAUCCAACGGCUCCUGUUCCGUCUCCCACUUUUAUCUCUAGAGACGACCAACCCUUACCCCAAGCCCUAAUUCAUUUCCCCUUUGACCUAGAAGCCACCCUUUCCCCUUUCCUCUCCUUUAUCUCCACUCAUAUCACCAUGCAUGUCACGAGAACCUUGCAUAAAUUCGUGCAAGGUCUCAAAUCACCCAGAGAAUCAUGCCUUCUAUCUCUCAUACCCACGAUCCCCGCUGAACACUUUACCAUUUCUGUCUUUUGGAUUCAAACGCCCAGAAAAAUCCUAGCUUAAGCAUGAAACAUCAAAUCCCCGAAUUUCUCUUGUGUUAUGUUAAAUUGAAGCAUGUAUGGCUUCUUCCCAGUCUCAAAAUGAAGAUUCUAUAUCUAUAGGUCAAACACAGUGACCUCUAGGUUCUUGAGCUUUGUCCGCUGAUUUAUCCUUCAACUGUAAGCUUUCCUCACUCAGGUAAAUUUUCUCAUGAUUUUCCCCUAUGAUUUCUUCAAUUUUCACUCGUUUACUUGCAUCAUCUGAACUUUGUCACUCUCUACUAUCGUUUUGAAUUCAUUAAAACCCUAGGCUUUAAUGGCCACUAUAAAUAGGAGCCUUCAAUGCUCUCACCUAACAAUCUACCUCCCAAUACAACAUGGAAAACAAAAAGAGAAUUAAAACCCUAGAUUACUCACUGAUUUUCUUUUCCUUCUCCGGUUCUGAGUUUGCCUAUUGUUCGAGCUUGAGUUGAGAUUCUCAACGGCUAAACUAGAAGCUUUAUUUGGUUUGCUACCCAAAAGAAUGUCAGUAAACCUCAACCUUUCUUCUAUUUUAAUCGUUUGGUUGAAAUCAUGCUUGUUAUGUUGUUAUAUGGCUCUAUCUAUAAUAUGUUAUGACUGAUUAUCUAUAUAUGUUUGUUAUUAAUCCAUAACUAAUCACUGAAUUCUAGAAUUAUAAGCUCUUUAAUAUUAUGAAAUCAGAGCCACUUACUAUUUGGUUAUUCUGGUAAUCCUAAUGAACAUGUAUUUUGGUGACUUGUAUAUAUUGUUAAGCUUCUGAGAAUAACAAAGAACAUUCAAACGACCUUAAUAGUUUUCUUAAUCUUCUGGUGUUCUGUUGUAGCUCUCAUGUGUGCUAUAUUAGUUUGUCUUAGUAUUAUUGGUAUGAUUCACUUGAUAUAUGGCCUAAGUGGAUAUGGAUACAUGAUGUUGAGUAUAGGGCUGUCACUUAAUCUAAGCAUGUUAGUUUACAAUGCUUCAACUAUCUCCUUCUUUAAUGUAUUAUUCUGUGAUUCUGUAACUUUAGAACAUUAGCGUAAGAACCUUCUUUCCACUCCCAUAACUGUUUUAUCACACCCGUGAACUUCACUGUAUGAGAUAAUAUCUCAAAAUAACUGGAUUAAGCUAUAAUGAACCUAUUCACUUUUGCUUUGUCUGCUGCCAUCUAAUUAGUUCAAGUCAUGCCUAGAAACCUGAUUGAAAUUUGCACCUGCUAUAGUUGAAUACCAUCCGAUAGAAUCAAGUGUUGCAAAACAUCAUUAUGACAUACUAAUCUACUUAGCUUAUAACUGAAAUAUAUUUACCUAGUAUAAACCUUCACUAUUCUAGACCACUAUAAUGACAUUGUUAGUAUAAUCCCAUGUUCUUUGGUACCUAGUCAUAUUGUAAUAUUAUAGUUUUAUAAGAAUAUAACAUGUACAUAUUUAAAGGUCAUCCAUUGGAUGUUCUGUACUCAUCCCUGUCUCAGUAGAGAAUUUCUGCUUGUAUAUUAUGUUUGUGAUUGUGUUUUCAUAUUAUUGAAACCUACUAAGUUUACUGCAGUUACUCAUGGACUUAGGAGACCCCCUUUGAUGUUUAUCUACCCUGUUUGUAUGUAGGACUGUACAUUUAACUCUUAACCAACCUAGGAGGAAUGAAACAAAUCUCCUUAGAGGUCACUUGUUAAUGUAUUUGCUUGCCCCUGCCAUUUAAGAACUUUGAAGUGGACUGUUAACUCUCAUACUUAGUGAAAGGUGGAGUGUUGUUAGAUGUCCUCUAAGUAUAUAUAUGACUAAGUAGAUGUUUAUAGCUAAUAAUUUUCAUAAGCGUGAACCUGCUAGUAGGAUUAUUGAGGCCGAUACACCUGAUACCUUCUGUGCUCCUUUGAACUGCAUGACUUACUUAUUCAGAGUUCUUAUAUUAAUGUGUUGUUAUGCUUCUAUUGCUUUCCCGUACCUAUACGGAUCCUGUUGAGUAGUCUUAAGCCUAAUAAAAGUAUAUGGCAGUGUAUGCUUGUGUGCAAACUAUGAUAGAUUUGAUGAUGUUUUGGUGUUCUGAACAGUUAUUUGUAAAAUCAUACCUCUCCUUGUGUAUAGUCACCACUAUGGUAUUAGGAUUUACAUUGAGUGCCUCAUUAGUACCUAAACCUACAGAGAAGAGUAAGUGUGAGUAGUUAGGGUAUUUGAAAGUAGAAUUUUGUUCUUGGUUGAGCUACUCUCCAUGACACAAGCACUACUUGGGGUCCUUGAGACCCUUAUAAACUUUGAAGUGCCAGGGAUCCAAAGGGUAUUUUGUCCAUGAAUGGAAUUUUACCCUAAGCCCUUAAUAUAUUGAUAUUUGCUAAUCUCUUUAGGUUUAGUGUUAAAUAGAAAUAAAGGUUUUUACUAUAAAUUGCUUUAUUAUAUGUGACGUAAUAUUAAUCUUGCAUUCUUGAAUAAUGUUGAUUGUUACAGUUUAUCUUGGGCCUAUAUUGGUGUUACUUAUGUUUAAAUAGAAUAUUCGGCCACAUAUCUAAUGACUUUAUCUUACUUUCUAUACAUGUAUCUAAAUUUGGCCUGCCGAGUUCUCAAAGAACUCAUGCCCAAAUUCCUUACCUGAACAUUGGAGUCAUCAGAGCUGUUUGUCUUCGCUAUAUGCUAGGCCUAAUUUCCUUCCGGCCCAAACCAAGAGUCGAUCCCUUUCCUCUAUCGCUUUUAAUAAUUUGUUGCUUUUGUUAUUUAUCCGACACUAAUGAUAUUUGAUUGAAUACUUUCUUUUAUUUCUUUGAGUUAUAUCAAUAAUCUAGGAAAGCCCUUAAAACAUAGGUAAAAAUAAAAAUAGCAAUGCAACCUAGUAGUAAGCAAUUCAAAUUGUCGAUCACUUUUAUUUAGUUCUUAACUCUUACUAACAAUCUUCUUUCAUGUAAUCUUUGAAAUAAAGGUAGAUUUGCAAAAGAGUCAACAUUUUUCUUUUUUAAAAACAAGAAGAAAAUCAAAACGAACAAGAAAUAUUUUCAAAAAGCUGUCUAUUUAUGUGAAUCAAACAGUGCUAUAAUUAAGGACCUUUUAAAUGGUUUGAACUCGAGUACAAAAUUCGGAAAUCAAUAUUCAAGGUAUACCUAAAGUUUACUUCUUUAAACAACCUUUACUUUUACUAGAAUUAUAGAUGUAGCCAUACCAUUUUACAGGUACAGUAUUUUAAACCUAUCCAUAUUUUUUACAAAGCUUGAAAAUAUAAACACUAUAUAUACUUCCAAAAUUCAUUCAAUUAUGUAGACUUUUCUCAAAGGCUUUUAUAAGUGAAACUUAUAUGCUCUUUUAAAAAGUACAUAUACUAUUUUCUUUCAAAAUGAUAAGCUCGAAAUAAGACAUAGAGUAAGCUAUCAAACCUUUAAGCUCUAACUAAGUAGAAUAUAGACAUCUAAUUCCUUAAACCUAGUCUAAGUCCUAUGGAGCUACCUCAGGUAGAUUUUAGGGGGUGCCUAACCACUUCUCCUUAAAAGAACAAGAACCAUUACCCAAAAUUUCACAGUUUAGUUGUUACACCCCAUGUUUUCAUACAUGGAAGUACGCCAUACAUAAAUUAAUGGAAGUUCGGGAAUGGGAUUAUUUUGUGUUUAUAAGCAUUAUGCCAUUUCAAAUAAGUGAUGAGUAAAUUCAUAAAGGUGAGAGAGGAAGCAAGUCAAAGAAAAUGAAUUUUCGUCCAAGUUUGAGAUGUGGGAUAAAAUAUGGCGCGAGCUAAAAUACUCGGUAUUUAUGGACUAGUGCCAUACAAGGUACCACAUGACCACGAUGGUAUGAUGUAUAAGGUGUGUUAACAUGAGUAGUAUUUUAAGUAAUUUGAGAUAAUUCUUUAUUAUGUGGGUAAUUGGUUAAUGGGAGAAUAACAAGUUGAUUAAGAUAAUUGGUGGUUAAUUAUUGAACAAAAUCCAUAACGUGGCAGCAAACCCAUCUAAGGAUUGUAACUCAUAAGUCACUAUGAUUAUGUGGAAAGACUUAAAGAGCAUGAGUCAUACUCAUUAAAUAAAGAAGAGACACAUUUCAUUAGCAAUUUUUAUAAGUCGUGAAUAGAUCAGAACGUUAGCCAUUUUUGUCAAUUCCUACAAAUUUUCAAAUUCUCAUUUUCAAACACUCCAAAUCAAAUUCUAACCCUUACAUUAAGCAACAUGAAUUCUUGCAACCAAAAGGAAUCCAACGAGAAUUUUUAAAAUCAUAGUAACGUAAAAUUUUGCGGUUCUAAAGGAGUACGGUGCAACCUUUUCCAAGAACAUCAUAUGGAUUUUUUCCUACUCUGAUCUUGCCGUUACGUGUUGUCGCAAUUGAUGUGUGUUAGAGGGAUUGUCAAGAGAAUCGACUCAGAUAUGUUAAGGCUAUCCCUUCUUUCCUUUUGGCAUGAUCUAUACGACACGAAACGAGCAAAUGCACAACUUUCAUAAAUGAUUCUAUUCCUAGAAGUAUUAGAAGUGUCUAUGUUCUUGAAUUUUCAUGUAUCUUAUUAUUCUAUCAUCUGUUCAUGGGUCUCAGAAAAUACUUAAGUUGAAAAAGUUUACUUCAUGAUAUUAUUCAAAGGCAUAAUGGCAUUAUGACAUUCCGAGAGAUUUUAAUGAUGUACUUCUCAUGUAUUGCAUUCAUUUAUAUAUGUACAUUGACCCAUGACCAGAUGACGUUAUAUACACGUAUAUAUAUAUAAGUAUUUAUAUAUAUAU
rnacentral:lncRNA from 1 species